rnacentral:lncRNA from 1 species
UGGGAGCCACCGAUGUGAAGAUCGUCGGGGUGUCCGCUGAUGAUAACGCCAUGGAGGCGUUCAUGAGUGCCGGUGCUGAUGAAUUUGUGCCCAAACCAAUGAGGAUUGAGGUUCAGGAGGUCAUCAGCAAGAAGAAUAAUUAGUGACGCUUGCUCGAUCCAGCCAUGGAGGAAUAAAUUAAGCUAGCUCAUAUACUAUGAAUGUUAUUUUUUGCAAGGGAUAUACCAUGAAUGUUUGAUAGCUUUAAUUUGCUUUGCAUUAUAUUAUUGUCGUGUUGUCAUUUUAGUUUCAAGGUCAUGUUAAAGGCCGGGGUUGAUAAGCAAAAAUGAACAAGCAGAGGGGCUACCAGUAAUGAGAUAGUUGAAAUCAAUGUAAUGUGUAACCUUUUGAAUUUAAUCUAUUACUUCUCGCUAAUUUGUGCUUCAGGGUGUGCGCCAUGUGCAAGUGUUCCAGAGGCAAGUUAUUUGACACACAAUUAAUUUGAUAAUUGUUUCACGGAUUGGAUUUCUCUUGUUAGCAUGGUACGUCUAACUAACGCCACCUGUGAAGCUAAGCAUACCGCAUGCGUGCACGUAAUUUCUUUCUAGAAACAUGAAAUGAGCCAUGCAUAUAUAUAUAUUUCAACUGAUCCAAAAGUCUUUGCCUUCUCGAGCUUCCAUCUGGCAUACGCCUCAUGCUCCUCCAAGUCUAUCUGCUCUCUCUCAAGUUGUAACUUGUUGGUCACCCUCUCCCGGCUCCAAUCUAUCCUCUCUUUUUCACAUCCAAGAAGAGCUUGUACAUCUCCUCCUCCUUCUCCUCCAUGAUGGCAGACACUUUGCUCGACACAACGUCACGCAAGACCCUGCUUUUAUCCCACUUGUUUCCCAUCACUUGGUGGUCCCUCUUUGGCACGGUGGCUUGUCCCUCCUCUCCUCCACCUUCCUCAUCUUCGUCAUCCAAUCCAAUGGAUUGGUGGGAGCUUGAGCCAUUGUUUUUUCUUCAACUUUUUGCUGUCGUUCUUGAGGUCAUAGAUGAAUUUUUGCCAGUUUGGUUUCCCAUUCAAUUUCAACCAACAAUGGCACAUAGUGAAUGACUUCCCCUUGAUUUGUUGGUACAAAACCUCAUCUAGCAAACAAGAAUCACUCAUGAGAAUGCAGCAAAAAAAGCUAGCAUAAUGAUGUUAAAACGAAGCAAGUCACCUUACACGACUCUUGAUUCCAAUGCCACUUUGUUUCCGGCUAACCACGGAAGAAUAGUGGCCGCAAAACUUGUUCACACUCUCUUGGAUGAUCGACCAUCUAUGUUGGAGAGAGGUCUCAUUGCAGGUGGUAUGGUUAGGGAUCGACUCCACAUAUUCCUCGUGUUGAUGGUAAUCUUGUGAAUCUUUCCCCAAUACUUAUUUCCCUUUUGCUUGGUCCCAUAUAUAGGGUGUUCAUACUUGUGGCCAACCAAGCUUCACACAACAAAACAUCUCAUGAAUUGAGAACGUCACACGUAUUCCUUGAACAUCUUUUUUUGUUUAGAGUGGUUGGCGUUUGCCUGACAUCAUACAUAGAAGAGGUAUCACCCAAGUCAUAAUGCAUAUGAUAUUGACCGUCAUUGAUCAUGUAUGUCAUGAUAACCUCCUAAAAUGGUCAUGAUCACAAAUAAACUAACACUACUAGAGAAAAAGCCUAGCAGCAGCGCGGGUUUUAGGCCUAUCAGUAGCGCUGGGCGAUGCGCUACUGAUAAGGCGCUACAGCUAACGUAUAGCAGUAGCGUGCCUCCGACCACGCUACUGCUAAAUCGACUUAGUAGUAGCGACUUCCCAGAGGAGCGCUACUGGUAAUUAGUAGUAGCGCUUCUCCCUGCCCGCGUUACAACUAUUAUUUCGUAUUUUAUUUCUUUUUUAUUUCAUGUUGUAUUUGUACACCUUUACACAAGUUUUCAUACAACAGGAAUUUAGAAAUUGUUUUUACAUCAUAAUGAGUUAUUACAUCACGGGGUGAAAGAACCAUGGACUAGUUUCAAGUGGAUGGACAUCCACUUGAAACUAAUCUGCGAUUCUUUCACCCGAUGAUAUAAUAAAUAUCAUCAUCAUCAUCAUCAUAUCAUUAACAACUUAUCAUCAUAAUACAUCAUUGUCAUAUAACACCUCCUCAAGAUCAUCGUUUUCAUCAAUGAGACAUCACAUAGCAAAUUGGUCACUAGGCGUAAUCACAAGUACUCCUCAUCAUCAACUCUAACACAUUGUAUCACAUAAUAAACAUAUUGUACCUCAUAGGACCUAGUACAUUCUCUUAGGACCUACUGUAAGUGCAUCUAGUGCCACCCCUAGUUGGUUUUGGAGUAUUGACGACAAACCUAGUUGAGGGACUAAUGUGUUUGUGAGAAUUGCAGGAUAACACAGGUAGAAGUCCCUCAUUGAUUCGGUUUUACUACCAGAGAUGACCCCUAAAAAUGUAUGAAGACAUUGAAGUCAAAGGUGGUAUAUGAAGAUAUUCACAUUGAAGACUAUGACAAGAGAAGACACGAUAUGAAGCCUAUGGAGCUCGAAGACUUAGAUCUUUCGUAGUUCUUUUUCUUUUAUGUUGAGUCAUAGGAACCACCGUACUGUUAAGUGGGGUCCAGGAGAACCAGUCAGAAUGACUGAAGUGAUGCCUAAACCAAAAACCUAUGUCUUCGAGUGAAGACAAUGAGAGCGAAUCUUGUCCAGAGUCGGACAAGUCAGCUUUGCUUGUAGCCCAAGUAAAGUUGCCAUGAGAGUUUGAAAUCUGACCGUUGAGACACGUGUCAGUUCCUUAGUGACCCAGGGUCAUUUUAGACAAAUCAGGUCGGGUUGCCAAGUGGCUAUAAAUAGCCCACCCCCUACAAUCAUAAACGGUUGGCUGCUCAGAUUGAGAGUACGACUUUUGUCGUUUGAGAGCAACCCACCUCGAAGCCUUCGAGAGAGAAUUCCUUGCGAGGAUAAAGCCCUAACCACCAGAGCCAGAGAGAAUUGGGCAUCACUAAAGUCUUCUUGUCUGUGUGAUCUGAAGACUUAUUACACUUGAGGACUGUGCAUCCUCCAGACGGUUAGGCGUCGCGUUCAGAGCAUCCAAGAGACAUUGUGGAUUGCCAGUGAACGAAGUCUGUAAAGGUUUGGGAGUCUACCUUGAAGACUUACCAGAGUGAUUGGGCGAGGACUAUGUGACCUUAGCUCAAGGAGAAUACGGUGAGGACUUGGUGUCCUGAGCUGUGUGUUCAGGACUGGGUGUCCGGGACCGUGUGUCCUAAGAUUUAAAUACCUAGCCGCUCCAACCAGACGUACAGUUGUCACAGCAACUGGAACUGGUCCAACACAUCAUUGUCUUCAACUAGUCACUGGUUUCAUCUUCACUUCCUUUUACUUACUGAUUACUCAUUGUGAAGUCAUUGCAUGACUGUUCUAUCUUUUGUCUUCACAACGUGAGUGUAUGAUCUGUUUGGCUUCAUAACAUCUUCCUACCUGAUCCUUAUUACACUGCAGCUAUUUGUCACUGUGCUUUCACUCUGUUGAUACUUGACCAUGGCUUGCCUAGUGUAGUCUACCUUCCGCUGCAUAGUAAUAGGCAUAUCUCUGCUGUUUGUCUUCAUAACUUCCACGUUUUGAAGACUUUCAUAAAAAUCGCCUAUUCACCCCCCCUCUAGUCGAUAUAACGCACUUUCAAUUGGUAUCAGAGCAAGGUGCUCCCUUGUUCUGUGUGAUUCGAUUUAACCACCUGGAGUUUUAGCUAUGUUGACUGCAGGGAUAAUUAAAGUCUCCGCUGCGUGCCCCGUCUUCGAUGGAACUGAAUAUCCCUACUGGAAGAAUAAGAUGCGUAUGCAUCUUGAAGCCAUUGACGUCGACCUAUGGUAUGUCGUCGAGAACGGCGUUCCCAAGGCUGGAGAAGGUGUCACUGCUGCUGAUGUCAAGAAAUUCGUUCAACUGGACUCUACUGCCAAGAACAUCAUCUGUGGUCAUCUGACCAAAGGACAGUAUGGCCAUGUGAGUGCCUUGAAGACAUCCAAGCUGGUCUGGGACUGGCUCUCCAAGGUCAAUGAAGGCAUCUCAACCCAGAGAGAUCAGAGAAUCAGUGUCCUUCGCAACCUCUUCAACCGCUUCAAGCGAAAUGACAAUGAGAAUGUCCAGCACACAUUUGACCGACUCACUGACAUCACAAAUGAGCUUCAAGCCCUCGGUGCCACUGAGAUUACCAAACACGAAGUCGUCAAGACGCUGCUGAGAUCACUUGAUAGUUUGUUUGACAUCCUGGCCCUGAUGAUCCAAGAACGUCCUGAUUUCAAGACACUUGAUCCGUCUGACAUACUUGAGAGGCUCAACACACAUGAGUUUCAGCUUUUGGAGAAAAGAGAUAUCUACGGUCCAAACUAUGGGCGAACUCGUGCCUUGAAGGCAAAAGCUGUCUCCUCAUCUGAAGAAGAAUCUGAUAGCAGUUCUGAUGAUCCUGAAGACAUUGGAAGGGAACUUGCUAUGCUUGUCAAGAAGUUCCAAAAAUUCACGAAGAAGAAAGGUUUCAGAAAGUCUUCCCGAUCAAGUUCAAGGAAUGAUGAAGCUCCUGCUCAUGACUACAAGAAGAAAACAUGUCACAAGUGCAAGAAACUUGGCCACUUCAUCUCUGAGUGUCCACAGUGGGACAAUGAGAACAAAAAGAAGAAGAAGAGCAAGGAAUAUGAUUCUGACGAUAAGAAGAAGAAGAAGAAAUACUCAAAGUCUUCUUCCAAGUCUUCCUCAAAGUCUUCAUCACACAAGAAGAGCUCAUCUGGCAAGGCACGUGCAUUUGUUGGCAAGGAAAUGGAUUCAGAAGAGGAGUCUGCUUCUGAGGAGGCGGAGGUGGAGUCUGAAGAGGAAUCCGACUCAGGCGUCGCAAGUUUGGCUACAUCAUACGUUGCCAAGUCCAUCUUCAACACUGAAGACAAUGACUUCAUCACCGACACCGAUGCAAAUGACAAGGACUGCUCCGCUUCCACCUACUGCUUCAUGGCACGCGGUGCCAAGGUAAACACACACACUACUCACUAUCAAACAUCUAGUGACGAUGACUCUGAUUGUGUUUCAAAACCUAGCUACAAAACACUUGCUAAAAUUGCAACUGAACAACAAAAAGCUAUGGAACAUAUUCAAAAACUGUUAGACAGAAGCGAUGAUCUAUUGGGUGCUGAAAUGACUCGAUCUGAAUCCUUAAUUGAAGACAUGAAAAAUCUUCACGUUAAGUAUCAGGAACUUGAAAAUCGUCAUGAAACUCUCUCAACAACUCAUGAAAAGCUUUCUAUGAUUAUCUUCAAAGGAAGCAAGAUCUUGAGAAAUUGAGAGCGGUUCAUGAAGAUCUUCAAACGGAAAACGAGUCACUUCGGGCCAAAUAGAUCAGUCCCGCUCAGGAAGGAUUUGAACCACCAUGUCUUAAAUGCAUUGAGCGUGAUAAUGCUACUUCUGUUGCUGAAUGUUCUACUGCUACUGCUGUUGCAAUAUCUUCAACUAUUGAUGCGGUAACUAACCUCUCUAUUGAGGAUACCACCGCUAUUGCUGAAGAGAAUGCUAGGUUGAAGACAUUGCUUGAAACAGGGAUGUACAAAAGCCUUAAAGGGCAUCAGACGCUAUGUGAUGUCCUGAAAAAGCAGAUUCUGAACCGAAACCCUAGGAAAGAGGGUGUAGGGUUCGUAAGGAAAAUGAAUGCAGAUGGCUCUUACUGGAAACCUGAGCAGUACCCCAAAACCAUGUGGGUUGCUGCAAAGGAACCUUCAGCAGAUCCAUCCAAUCUAACUGGCUUCACUUGUGCUAACCCCAUUACCAUUGAUGAAUCCUUUGAUGCAAACUAUAUACUGUUUAAGAAUCAGAAUGGUGAAGUGUUUGCCAGGUACAUUGGUACUAACUGCAGGAAUGGACCACCUAUGAAGAAGAUCUGGGUUCCGAAAAGGUGUCUGGAAAAUCUUCCUGUGAAUGUCUUCAUGACACCUCACUUGAAGAAGACAAACCUCAGACCAAAGGCUUCAUACGGUCCAAAGGCAUCAUACAAACAGAGGACUCACCUGAGUCGCACUAACGCAAAUGUUUUGCAGGGAAACCAUACUCAGGCAUAUGAAUAUGAGAGCGGUUCAUCAAACCGCCAUGUUCAUAAGACCAAAAACUAUUCUGCUUAUUCUUAUGAGUACUAUUGUCCACCUGCAAGACUGUUUGCUAAGGCUUCAAAGCCAAAAUUCUCAGAUGCUGCACUUAGACUUAUUGCUUCUAAGCCACCCUUGAAGAUGUGUGUGGUUAAGAAGGCUUAACUCUCUUUUGCAGGGAAAGGUCUCCAGCAGAAAACCAAAAUCAUCUGACGCUAUUGCUGGGGACCUUAAACAUCUUGUAGGGCGCAAGAUCAAAUGCCCAAAUGGUCUUACUAUGUACUUCGUACCUGAAUCGCUUGCUACUCUCCCUAUUAGUCCUAACCUGGAUCUAAGCUUUCAUAACCCACUGGUUCGUCAAAUGUUUUUGCUUCACAAUGCUCUUGGUGAAGCCUAUCCCCCUAACUGCACUGUAGGGUACUACACCAGCGUCUUCAGAAUAGAUUAUUGACAGUGGGUGUACGAAUCACAUGACUGGCAAAAGAAGUCUUCUUAUGGACUCAACUUUACGUCCAUCCGACAAGAGCCACAUCACAUUUGCUGACACUGGUAAAAGUAAGGUAUUGGGUCUAGGUAGAGUUGCAAUCUCAAGGGAUCAACACAUGGAUAAAGUCAUGCUUGUUGAACCCCUUGGCUUCAACUUAAUGUCUGUCUCAAUGCUUUGCGAUUUGAACAUGAUCGUAAUGUUUGGAAAAUAUCGUUGCCUUGUACUAAUGGAAUCUGACAAGUCUCUAGUGUUUGAAGGGUAUCGAAAAGAUGAUUUGUACGUGGUAGAUUUCUCAGCAGGGCCACAACUUGCAGUAUGUCUUCUAGCAAAGGCUUCAGAAUGCUGGCUAUGGCAUCGGAGGCUUGGACAUGCUGGCAUGAGGAACCUCCACACCCUUGCGAAGAAGAAGCAUGUAAUAGGCAUCGAGGGCGUCAAGUUCAAGAAAGACCACUUAUGCGGUGCCUGUGAAGCAGGGAAAAUAACGAGGGCCAAAAAUCCCUUGAAGACAAUCAUGACUACUACUCAACCCUUCGAACUGCUUCACAUGGAUCUUUUCGGUCCCACUCAUUACUCAACUCUAACUACUACUGCUUGCCUCUAUGGCUUUGUUAUUGUUGAUGAUUAUUCUAGAUAUACUUGGGUGCACAUAAUCCUUUACAAGACUGAAGUGCAGGAUGUCUUCAGACGCUUCGCCAAUCGAGCUAUGAACAAUUUUGGCGCCAAGAUAAAGCACAUCAGAAGUGACAAUGGCACUGAAUUCAAGAACACUGGCCUUGAUACAUAUCUUGAUACCCUGGGCAUCACACAUGAAUUCUCAGCCCCGUACACGCCACAGCAAAAUGGCGUCGUCGAACGCAAGAACAGAACACUAAUUGAGAUGGCCAGAACGAUGCUAGAUGAAUACAAGACCCCAAGAAAAUUUUGGCCCGAAACCAUUAAUACUGCAUGCCAUACAAUCAAUCGUGUUUAUCCUCACAAGCUACUGAACAAGACAUCUUAUGAGCUCCUUACUGGCAAAAAGCCAAAUGUCAGUUACUUCAGAGUAUUUGGCGCAAGGUGCUGGAUCAAGGACCCACAUCACACCUCAAAAUUUGCACCAAAAGCACAUGAGGGUUUUAUGCUUGGAUAUGGAAAGGAUUCGCACUCCUACAGAGUCUUCAAUCUCUUUCAUUACAAAGUGGUUGAAACAGUGGAUGUGCGGUUCGAUGAGACCAACGGCUCACAAAGAGAGCAGCUGCCAAGUGUGCUAGAUGAAGUUCCAUCCAGUGAAUCAAUCAAGCUAAUGGGAACUGGAGAGAUUAUACCUUCUGAAGCUCAUCCUGAAGAAGAACUUAUCAUUUCAGCACCUGAUCAACAUGAAGACAAUGCUCAGCCUGAAGACAUUCCUUCCAACAACGACAAUGAACAGCAAGAGCAAAGUCUUCGCCCUGUACAUCCUCGCGUUGCCAAUGAAGUGCAGAUUGAAAGAAUAAUUGAUAGCAUCAAUGCACCUGGUCCACUCACUCUUUCAAGGGCAACUCAGCUAGCAAAUUUCUGCGGGCACUUCGCAUUCGUCUCAAUAUCAGAACCCAAGAAAGUUGAAGAAGCCUUCAUGGAACCUGAAUGGAUUCAAGCUAUGCAAGAAGAGCUUCAACAGUUUGAGCUGAAUAAUGUAUGGGAACUAGUUAAGCGUCCUGAUCCACGGAAGCACAACAUAAUUGGCACCAAAUGGAUAUAUCACAACGAGCAAGAUGAGCAUGGUCAAGUUGUCAGAAACAAAGCUCGUCUCGUUGCUCAAGGAUAUACUCAAGUGGAAGGCAUUGACUUCGAUGAAACAUUUGCUCCUGUGGCUAGGCUUGAAGCCAUACGCAUACUACUGGCCUAUGCAAAUCAUCAUAACAUACUUCUAUAUCAAAUGGAUGUGAAGAGUGCCUUUCUCAAUGGCAAGAUUGAAGAAGAAGUGUAUGUUGCACAACCGCCUGGCUUUGAAAAUCCAAAACAUCCUGACAUGGUAUACAAGCUCAACAAGGCACUGUAUGGCCUCAAACAAGCCCCUAGAGCCUGGUAUGACACACUCAAAUACUUCCUGAAGAGCAAAGGCUUCAUACCUGGUUCCCUAGAUCCCACUCUUUUCACGAAGACAUAUGAUGGUGAACUGUUUGUGUGCCAAAUAUAUGUGGAUGACAUUAUCUUCGGCUGCACCAAUCAGAAGUACAAUGAAGAGUUUGGAUAUAUGAUGCAAGAGCAAUAUCAGAUGUCCAUGAUGGGGGAGCUGAAGUUCUUCCUUGGUCUUCAAAUACGACAACAACGCAAUGGCAUCUUCAUAUCUCAAGAGAAGUAUCUCAAAGAUUGCCUGAAGAAGUUUGGUAUGCAAGACUGCAAAGGCUUCACAACACCAAUGCCAGCCAAACAUCAUCUGGGUCCUGACGACAAUGGUAAAGAGUUCGAUCAAAAGGUAUACCGCUCCAUGAUUGGUUCUUUACUUUAUCUAUGUGCAUCUAGGCCAGAUAUUAUGCUUAGUGUUUGCAUGUGUGCUCGAUUUCAAGCGGCACCAAAGGAGUCGCAUCACUUAGCUGUGAAGCGAAUUCUUCAAUAUCUGGCUCACACCCCAACUCUAGGAUUAUGGUAUCCAAAGGGCACAGAGUUUGAUUUGGUUGGAUUCUCGGAUGCUGAUUAUGCUGGUGACAAAGUUGAUCGCAAGUCUACAUCAGGCACAUGUCACUUUCUGGGACGAUCACUUGUAUGUUGGUCUUCAAAGAAGCAGAACUGUGUAUCUCUAUCCAUUGCUGAAUCUGAAUACAUUGCUGCUGGAUCUUGCUGCGCUCAGCUUCUGUGGAUGAAGCAAACACUCAAGGACUAUGGCAUUCAUCUGAAGCAAGUGCCACUUUACUGCGACAACGAAAGCGCCAUCAAGAUUGCCAACAACCCAGUUCAGCACUCGAAGACAAAGCACAUUGAAAUUCGUCAUCACUUUCUUAGAGAUCAUGUUGUGAAGGAAGACAUUGAUAUCAUACACGUUAACACUGAAGAGCAAUUGGCAGAUAUCUUCACCAAGCCCUUGGAUGAGAAGAGGUUUUGCAAGUUACGGUGUGAGCUAAAUAUCCUAGAAUGCUCAAAUGUCCUGUGAUCAGGCACACAUCCUAACCCUUAUGCAUAAUGAUGACUUAGAUGUGCAACACAUGAAGUGAAGUAUAUCUUCAAUCAAUGAAGACGUACAUUCUAAGUGUGAAUACAUUAAUGUGGAAUUUGACUUCGGAGCGCCACGAUAAUUGUGCGCCGUGUCUGGGUCUAAUACUUCUUAUACGGUGGGUAACGCCACCACCAAACGUUCUAUUUUGAAGUGUUUCUCUCAUGGCGUUACCUUGCAAUGUCUUCACAUUUGGUUUGGCUUCGAACUCAACAUAUUUUCAUGAUUAUCUUCACUAUGUUGAUUAUAUAUAUAUAUAUAUAUAUAUAUAUAUGCUAGUGUUCUGUCCUCUACAGCAUUCACUUAUAGCUAUGUCUUCGUGUCGAAUCUUUUGAACUAAGUGAAUGUGAUCAGACCCCAACUUCUCUAUGCUUUCUAUCUCAAACUCUAUCUCUCUAAGUCAUAUGCAUUCUAUUGAAACUGUCAAAUGUCUUCACUGCGUCCUUGUCAGCAGAAGAUAUAGAGACAACCAUUAAGUCCGUUUUCAAUGCUCAUUCCUCCACAUAAAAUCCAGAGAAGUAGGAACGACCACCCGACAAUCCAGGCGUGCGUGGGACGUGGAACAAACCCCAAACUUCCGCAAACUGGCCACGCGUUCCUCAGAUGCGAAUCGCCAGGGGCACCUGUGUAAUAGCACAGUGCCGCCCUUGUGCCUAUAAAUACACACUCACAGCGGUAACUAUCUCUUCUUCCACCCUCGCAUGAACCCUAGCGCCAUCGCUAGCUCUCGACGAUGCCGGCGACGAAGCGCUUCGCUGCCGCAACCUCUCCGACGCCGUCUUCACGCCGACCGCGGACAUCGUCCUCUCCGCCGUCGCCGUAGGUCUCCUCCGUCGCCAAGUUAGGGCACGGACGAGUGAACUGCUCGGCCUCAUCUCUCGCUCCGUCUAGCAGUUCUCAGUGUGGUAAAUAGAACUCCCUUUUUACAGCACCGUUGAUCCUAUUGAUCUGUCACUUUCUACCACAAGUAGUUUCUGUUCACACAAGCUAGAUCUCUCUCAAACUGCAUCUCAUAACAUGCCUAGUAUAUUCACUUGUGCUUCACAAAGUAGUUAGAUUCCUCACUUGUACUGAUCUGUGGAUUUGUACAAAUCUGGAACCAACUUCUUAUCUAUGAGUGAAUGUCUUCGCACGAUGAGGUCAAUGUCUUCUAAACUGAUUUAUCUUCAAAAUCUUCUGAGAAUGCAUAUGACCUCUUCCCCUUCCCUCGCACCUUAAUGCUGUCACAGGUACAUGUCCGUGGGAGAAUCCUUUGGUUCUCAUAGUCUGCAUUCAUUUGCAGAAUUCUUACAGCAUCACAUCAAUUCUCCUGAAGCCAGCUCAUGUUGGUCCAACAAGAGAAAGCCUUUGAAGCCUUUGAACGUCUUGAAGCCUUUCAAGUUAAAGCUUAUGGCUUCAGAGAAAGCAACAAGGAAGGGGGGCAGACAACGUUGUGGCGGAACAUCCAAAGAUCUGCCUGAUGAACUCAUAGAAAUGUAUAAGACAGAUCCUGAAGAGGAUUAUGGUCAGCGCAAGACCCGAAUCCAAUGGAUUCGACGCUAUUGGGCAGAACAAUGGUUCAAGUACCGCUUCACAACCCAAGAGUAUGCUGAGAAAAGCGCCAUCAAAAGACCGUGGGGAGACAUCUUAUACAAGAAUCUCCAACCCAAGUCCAGAGAUGAAGCUAUUGCCCAAAGCUUCUAUCCAUGCAUGGUUCGUGGGCCACAGCCUGAUGAUGCACAUCCGUCGUCACUACUUUGGUGUCGUGAUGACAAUCUGUUCAAGUGCAACUUCCAGUUUGCCCAAAACUCAGCGAAGCAGAACAAGAAGAAAUUUGGGUUAGACUUCAACCCUGGUCCCUCAGCACCAAGGGCAGAUGGCACACGAGAAGCAGAACCCAAUGUCAUCGGUCCGUAUGCCAACCUUGAAGGCCUCAUCACCUACAUCUUGGUUCAAGGGACUGCAGUAAAUGAGCCUGCAGCUGACACUGAGUCUGAUGAAGCGCCUGCAGUGCCUGCAGUGCCGAAGCCAAAGCAGUUGAAGAAGCCAAAAGCUUCAAAGCCAGCCCCUUCACCAAAAAUAUCAAAGGCGAAGCCAUUGGCGACUGCACCUCCUGAAGAUAGUGUGCAGUCUGAAGACUUAUCACGCAUCUCAAGGCACUAGAAGGCCAAGAUGCCUCUGUCUCACACUGGCAAAGAGCUCACAGCUGCUGCCAUCCUGCGCAGUGAAGCCAUUGAUCUGUCAAGUGAUGAAGAUCUGGCAGAUGAUGCUCUUGAGCAGCUCAUCAAAAGCAAAGAAGAAGCAGAAAUCUUCAAUAAUCUGCCUCUCUUUGAUGUCGCCAUCAUCCACAGCUUCAUUGACGAGUGGUUUGACACGCCAAACAUCAGCUUUGAAGAUCUACAGCUACCUAUUGGCAUCAGUGUCGCCUUCCAAGGCGCCAUUACUUCAAAACUUGCUAUUGCCCAGCGCAUAGUUGAACUGAAGCAGAAAAUUGACUAUGAAAAGGCUCAGUUCAAGAAGCAUAUGGCCAAUCUCAGCGUGCAAGAAGUGAAGAACUUCAAGACAAUGAUGCACGAGCUCAAGGAAGCCUUUGUGAAGAAGCGUGCAGAAGCUCAGGGCUCGCGUGAGCGCAUGAAGGCUCUGGCUGACAGAUGUGUCCAAGCCUAUAAUGAGGCUGAGAAGCGCAUGGCACUUGGGCGUCCUGGCAUCGACCCCAGGAUGGCUGCAAAGAAGAAGAAGAAGCCUGCUACGGCUGAAUCUGAUGCACCAAGGCAAGAGGCAGUUCCGAUUAUCUUCCCAACAAGAAUGACUGGCUCGAAGCCAAAGAGCCAGUCAACAGCUUCAGAGCUCAAGAAGACAAGAACUGCUGAGGCUGAAGCCAGGAAGAGGAAAAGCUCUGAAGCCUCUCCUAUCUCCCCUAGCAAGAAAAAGAGAAAGACCAAGAAAUCUCGGGCUGCUCCCACAGAGCCCUUGAUAGUUGAACCCAUUUCUAUGGUUCACCCUGACGUGGAAUGUCAACUGACAGUUCAUGAGACUGCUUCCACAGAGGCUCCUGAAGCUGAAGACAUUCUAGCAGCUGACCCCAUCGCUGCUGAAGACAUUGGUCAUCGUGACAAUGUAGAAGAUGAUGCAGCCCUUCCUCAGUUAGACCACAGCGAACUCAUCAGCAUUGGUCGUCCACUGACGCCAAUUGCAUAGGAUGCUUCAUGGGUGGAUCGCCCUCAAGAGGAAGAAGACUAUGAGGCCCAGCCCACUCCAACCCCACAGGCGCCGUCUGCGUUCCGCAGGCUUCGCAAAGGUCCAAGGCCUCAAGUCUAUGCUGAAGACAUUCCGGCUGCAUCAGCCGCAGAAGAAGCACCACAAGAGCCCACUCCUCUGCUCCACCAAGAAGCAGUUCUCCACGAGAACAUGCUUGUGACCGACCCUCCAGCUAGUUAAGUGGGGGAUGAAAAUCUUGAGGCUGCCACAACCAACAACGAAGCUAAUGUGGAGCCCUCCCCAGCAAAAGCUUCAGAUGACAGCGAAGCCACUGAACCCACCACUUCUGUUCCUGAGUCUGCUGCCAGUCCCCAAUUCAACUAUCAUGUUGAGCACAGGCCUCAGGUCCAGAAGCCAAUCCCCAGACUGCCAAGGUUUCCAGGUCCUGCAUCAGCACCUGGCUCCUUCAACAUCAAUGGCUUCAGGGCAGACAACACGUUCUUCGAUAGCUCCAAGAACCCCUACUCAAGGGAAAGGAUAUCAUCUGAUCGGUUCUGGAGCUAUCCUCAGCGAAGCUACUACUCGUGCAUUCUUUACAACCAAGGUCGCAUCUUCCCACACAAGCGCCUUGAUGUUGAAGCUAUAGCUGGUCUGCCCUGUCUAGAAGAAGCAUUGGAUUGCUUCAAGCAAGUGGGUCUACUGCAGUUUGUCACUGAUGAAGAGCAUUGGAAUGAAGAGUUGCUGCUACAAUUCUAUGCCACCCUUCACAUCAAAGGAUACAGCAGAGAUCCGAAGACUUGGAUCCUGGAGUGGAUGACUGGCAACGUCCAUCAUGAAGCCAAUGCAUUUGACAUCAUUGAGCUCACUGGCUUGCCCACUCCAGGCGAUCUUUUUGAGCAAGGCUGUCAACUGCAUGCUGAAGCUAUUGAGAGCAUCUUUCAGCGGCCAGAACCUAAUAUGAGCCAAAUGCUCAGCAUGAUGAAGCCAUUGCCUCAAGAUGCUGCGUAUCCCAUAGAGUUCUUCGUUGAAGACCUUGAGUACCUGCACAGAACCAUCUAUCACAUCCUCAGGCGGACUCUUUGGCCUAUCAAAGGGCACUCUCCAAAUGCCAAGCUUCAGGGUGCAAUGAAGACUUUGGUCUUCAAUAUACUUCAUGGAAAAUGCUUCAAUGCACAGGACUUCUUCAUACGCCAACUUGCUGCAUCAGGCAUGGAUCUGUUUGGUUUGAAAUUCUAUGCCCUUGGGUCAUGCGGCUGAUCAAGCUACACUCCGCCAUCAAGUAUCAGCCCUCAGCCCGCAACCAUCGGAUCUUCCUGCCUGACGUGGACAUGUCAACUGAAGCCAUAUAUUCUGAGCCUGGCAAGCAACCUCUAAGUCUUCAGAAUGCAGAACAUCAGAGUUUCACUCAGAAUGUUGAAGGCGUUGAAGCAGUUUCUCGGGUGUAUCCUUUGGCUGGCACUACACGUGCACCACACCCUGCUUCAACUGAAGCCACUGACAGUGCCACUGCUUCAAGACCCAAGAAGCACACUCGUGUUCUCAACGACCGAGAGCUUCUUGUGGCCCUCCAUCAGAAACAAGAUAGGCAUCAUGACUGGCUGAAGCGUCAGAUGAAAAGCCUCUUGGUGGAUGUUAAUCGCACUCGAAAUCUUGCCACCAAGAACGCUUUCGUUGCCCAUGAAACCUGUCGCCGCACAUGGAAAGGGCUAAGGAUGAUGCUUUCUGAAGCUGGUCUUCAAGAGGAUGGCUUCACUGAGAGAUUCAAACACCUCCUCGAAGAGCUGUGCUACUGGGAACUCCAUCACUUGAAGACUCUGAGUUCUCUUCCUCUGCUGCCACAGUCACUGCCAGAAUCAUUGAGGAAGAAGACGAUGCUACUUCACCACCAUCUGCUUCAGCACCUCCAAGCUCUUCUGCACCGCCAAACAACAUCAACAACCAUGCUACUUCACCUACUCCUCAUGGGAACGAGUAGAGGCUUGUCUUCGAACCUUUUUGGUCAUUACUGACAAAAGGGGGAGAAGCAUAUGAGAUUGAUAGUCUUCAAGCGGGUUCAUAUGGGCGGGUGCCUUAUAUUUUGCUUCGUGCUUACACCUCUCGUUUUUUGCUACAUUUGGUUCUUGUGAGUUGUAACACUUAAACCAGAUGGUCGUCUGCUACUUGUUUGCCACCUUGUUUUGCGAAGAUAAAUUCCGCAUGUGCGACGAUAAAUUCCGCACUUAUCUCAUUCUGCAGACGUCCAUUUUCCAUUAUGCAUGUCAUUAUCUUCAUAUACUUUCACAUGCAUAGUGGAUUGUCAUCAUAAGCUGAAGUGGAUCUCCACAAGUACAACCUGCCAUGUGCAUUUGCAUUCCAAAAGCAAAUUAACUUAUACGCACAUCUUCAGGGGGAGCCCUUGCAACUUAUGAAGACAAUUCCUUAUCCUUUACAAUUUCACAGAUUAUAUUCCCCGUUGAAAACUUCAACUAGUUUGUCAUCAAUCACCAAAAAGGGGGAGAUUGUAAGUGCAUCUAGUGCCACCCUUAGUUGGUUUUGGAGUACUGAUGACAAACCUAGUUGAGGGACUAAUGUGUUUGUGAGAAUUGCAGGAUAACACAGGUAGAAGUCUCUCAUUGAUUCGGUUUUACUACCAGAGAUGACCCCUAAAAAUGUAUGAAGACAUUGAAGUCAAAGGUGGUAUAUGAAGAUAUUCACAUUGAAGACUAUGACAAGAGAAGACACGAUAUGAAGCCUAUGGAGCUCAAAGACUUAGAUCUUUCGUAGUUCUUUUUCUUUUAUGUUGAGUCAUAGGAACCACCGUACUGUUAAGUGGGGUCCAGGAGAACCAGUCAGAAUGACUGAAGUGAUGCCUAAACCAAAAACCUAUGUCUUCAGUGAAGACAAUGAGAGCGAAUUUCGUCCAGAGUUGGACAAGUCAGCUUUGCUUGUAGCCCAAGUAAAGUUGCCAUGAGAGUUUGAAAUCUGACCGUUGAGACACGUGUCAGUUCCUUAGUGACCCAGGGUCAUUUCGGACAAAUCAGGUCGGGUUGCCAAGUGGCUAUAAAUAGCCCACCCCCUACAACCAUAAACGAUUGGCUGCUCAGAUUGAGAGUACGGCUUUUGUCGUUUGAGAGCAACCCACCUCGAAGCCUUUGAGAGAGAAUUCCUUGCGAGGAUAAAGCCCUAACCACCAGAGCCAGAGAGAAUUGGGCAUCACUUAAGUCUUCUUGUCUGUGUGAUCUGAAGACUUAUUACACUUGAGGACUGUGCAUCCUCCAGCCGGUUAGGCGCCGCGUUCUGAGCAUCCAAGAGUCAUUGUGGAUCGCCGGUGAACGAAGUCUGUGAAGGUUUGGAAGUCUACCUUGAAGACUUACUAGAGUGAUUGGGCGAGGACUGGGUGUCCUUAGCUCAAGGGGAAUAAGGUGAAGACGAGGUCUUCUGAGUUGAAUCUCAGCCUCCCUAACCAGACGUACAGUUGUCACAGCAACUGGAACUGGUCCAACAAAUCAUUGUCUUCAACGAGUCACUGGUUUCAUCCUUCCCUUCCCUUUACUUACUGUUGGUCCUUGUGAAGUCAUUGUACGAUUGCAUCACCAUUUGGCUUCACUGAGUGAUUACUUGUUCUGAUUGGCUUCACAAUAUCUUCCUACCUGAUCCUUACUGCCUAGCUGCUAUUAGUCAUUGUGCUUUCACUUCAUUGAAUACUUGACUAUGGUUUGCCUAGUGUAGUCUCCCUUCCGCUGCAUGGUAAUAGGUUUAUUUCUAUCGUUUGUCUUCGAAACUUACAUGUUUUGAAGACUUUCAUAAAAAUCGCCUACUCACCCCCCUCUAGUCGAUCACUAGCACUUUCAAUUGGUAUCAGAGCAAGGUACUCCCUUGUUCUGUGUGAUUCGGUUUAACCACCUGGAGUUUUAGCUAUGUCGACUGUAGGGAUAAUUAAAGUCUCCGCUGCGUGCCCCGUCUUCGAUGGAACUGAAUAUCCCUACUGGAAGAAUAAGAUGCGCAUGCAUCUUGAAGCCAUUGAUGUCGACCUAUGGUAUGUCGUCAAGAACGGCGUUCCCAAGGCUGGAGAAGGUGUCACUGCUGCUGAUGUCAAGAAGUUUGUUCAACUGGACUCUACUGCCAAGAAUAUCAUCUGUGGUCAUCUGACCAAAGGACAGUAUGACCGCGUGAGUGCUUUGGAAACAUCUAAGCUAGUUUGGGACUGGCUCUCCAAGGUCAACGAAGGCGUCUCAACCCAGAGAGAUCAGAGAAUCAGUGUCCUUCGCAACCUCUUCAACCGCUUCAAGAGAAAUGACAAUGAGAAUGUCCAACUCAUGUUUUAUCGACUCACUGACAUCACAAAUGAGCUUCAAGCCCUCGGCGCUACUGAGAUCACCAAGCAUGAAGUCAUCAAGACACUCCUGAGAUCACUUGACAGUUUGUUUGACACCCUAGCCCUGAUGAUUCAAGAGCGUCCUGAUUUCAAGACACUCGAUCCGUCUGACAUACUUGAGAGGCUCAACACACACGAGUUUCAACUUUCUGAGAAAAGAGACAUCUACGGUCCCAACUAUGGGCGAACUCGUGCCUUGAAGGCAAAAGCUAUCUCCUCAUCUGAAGAAGAAUCUGACAGCAGUUCUGAUGAUCCUGAAGACAUUGGAAAGGAGCUUGUUAUGCUUGUGAAGAAGUUCCAAAAAUUCACCAAGAAGAAAGGCUUCAGAAAGUCUUCACGAUCAAGCUCAAGGAAUGAUGAAGCUUCUGCUCAUGACUACAAGAAGAGAACAUGUCACAAGUGCAAGAAACCUGGCGACUACAUCUCUGAGUGUCCAUAGUGGGACAAUGAGAACAACAAGAAGAAGAAGAGCAAGGAGUAUGACUCUGACGACAAGAAGAAGAAGAAAUACUCAAAGUCUUCUUCCAAGUCUUCCUCAAAGUCUUCAUCACACAAGAAGAGCUCAUCCUGGCAAGGCAUGUGUGUUUGUUGGCAAGGAAAUGGAUUCUGAGGAGGAGUCCGCUUCUGAGGAGGCGGAGGUGGAGUCUGAGGAGGAGUCCGAUUCUGGCGUUGCGAGUCUGGCUACAACAUACGUUGCCAAGUCCAUCUUCAACACUGAAGACAAUGACUUCAUCACCGACACCGAUGGAAAUGACAAGGACUACUCUGCUCCUUCCUACUGCUUCAUGGCACGCGGUGCCAAGGUAAAGACACACACUACUCACUAUCAAACAUCUAGUGACGAUGACUCUGAUUGUGGUUCCAAACCCAGCUACAAAACACUUGCUAAAAUUGCAACUGAACAACAGAAAGCUAUGGAACACAUUCAAAAACUGUUAGACAAAAGCGAUGAUCUGUUAGACACUGAAAUGACUCGAUCUCAGUCCUUAAUUGAAGACAUAAAAAAUCUUCAUGUUAAGUAUGAGGAACUUGAAAGUCGUCAUGAAAUGCUCUCAACAACUCAUGAAAGGCUUUCCUAUGAUUAUCUUCAAAGGAAGCAAGAUCUUGAGAAAUUGAGAGCGGCUCAUGAAGAUCUUCAAAAGGAAAACGAGUCACUUCACGCCAAACAGAUCAGUUCAGCUUAGGAAGGAUUUGAACCACCAUGUCUUAAAUGCAUUGAGAGUGAUAACGCUACUUCUGUUGUUGAAUGUUCUACUUCUGCUACUAUUGCAAUAUCUUCAACUGUUGAUGUGGUAACUAACCCUUCUGCUGAGGAUACCACUGCUAUUGCUGAUGAGAAUGCUAGGUUGAAGACACUGCUUGAAACAGGGAUGUACAAAAGUCUCAAAGGGCAUCAGACACUAUGUGAUGUCCUCAAAAGGCAGAUCCUGAACCAAAACCCUAGGAAAGAGGGUGUUGGGUUCGAAAGGAAAAUGAAUGCUGAUGGCUCUUACUGGAAACCUGAGCAGUACCCCAAAGCCACAUGGGUUGCUGCAAAGGAACCUUCAGCGGAUCCAUCCACCCUAUCUGGCUUCACUUGUGCUAAUCCCAUUGUUAUUGAUGAAUCCUUUGAUGCAAACUAUAAACUGUUUAAGAAUUAGAAUGGUGAAGUGUUUGCCAGGUAUAUCGGUACUAACUGUAGGAAUGGGCCGCCUAUGAAGAAGGUCUGGGUGCCGAAAAGGUGUUUGGAGAAUCUUCCUGUGAAUGUCGUCAUGACACCACAAGUGAAGAAGACAAAUCCCAGACCACAGGCUUCAUACGGCCCAAAGGCUUCAUAUAGACAGAGGACUCACCUGAGUCGCACUAAUGCAAAUGUUUUGCAGGGAAGCCAUACUCAGGCCUAUGAAUAUGAGCGCGGUUCAUCAAACCGCCAUGUUCAUAAGACCAAGAACUAUUCUGCUUAUUCUUAUGAGUACUAUUGUCCACCUGCAAGACUUUUUGCUAGGGCUCCAAAGCCAAAGUUCUCAUAUGCUGCACUUAGACUCAUUACUUCGAAGCCACCCUUGAAGAUGUGGGUGGCUAAGAAAGCUUAACUCUCUUUUGCAAGGAAAGGUCUCCAGACGAAAACCAAAAUCGUCUGACACUAUUGCUGGGGACCUUACACAUCUUGUAGGGCGCAAGAUCAAAUGCCCAAAUGGUCUUAUUAUGUACUUUGUUCCUGAGUCGCUUGCUAUUUGCCCUAUCAGUCCUAAUCUCAAUCUAAGCUUUAAUAAUCCACUGGUUCGUCAAAUGUUUUUGCUUCACAAUUCUCUUCAUGAAGCCUAUCCCCCUAACUGCACUGUAGGGUACGACACCAGCAGCUUCAGAAUGGAUUAUUGAUAGUGGGUGUACCAAUCACAUGACUGGCAAGCGAAGCCUUCUCAUGGACUCAACCUUACGUCCAUCUGACAAAAGUCACAUCACAUUUGCUGACACUGGUAAAAGCAAGGUAUUGGGUCUAGGUAGAGUUGCAAUCUCAAAGGAUCAACACAUGGAUAAAGUCAUGUUUGUUGAAUCCCUUGGUUUCAACUUAAUGUCUGUCUCAAUGCUUUGCGAUUUAAACAUGAUUGUGAUAUUUGGAAAAUAUCGUUGCCUUGUUCUAAUGGAAUCUGACAAGUCUCUAGUGUUUGAAGGGUAUCGGAAAGAUGAUUUGUAUGUGGUAGAUUUCUUAGCAGGACCACAACUUGCUGUAUGUCUUCUAGCAAAAGCUUCUGAAUGUUGGCUCUGGCAUCGAAGGCUAGGGCAUGCUGGCAUGAGGAACCUCCACACCCUUGCAAGGAAGAAGCAUGUCAUAGGCAUCGAGGGCGUCAAGUUCAAGAAGGAUCACUUAUGCGGUGCCUGUGAAGCAGGAAAGAUGAUGAGGGCCAAGCAUCCCUCGAAUACAAUCAUGAGAACGAUUCAACCCUUCGAACUGCUCCACAUGGAUCUUUUCGGUCCCACCCAUUACUCAACUCUUACUACUACUGCUGCUUGUCUCUAUGGCUUUGUCAUUGUUGAUGAUUAUUCAAGAUAUACUUGGGUGCAUAUAAUCCUCUACAAGACUGAAGUGCAGGAUGUUUUCAGACGCUUCGCCAAUCGAGCAAUGAACAACUAUGGCGCCAAGAUAAAGCACAUCAGAAGUGACAAUGGCACUGAAUUCAAGAACACUGGCCUAGAUACAUAUCUUGAUACCUUAGGCAUCACAAAUGAAUUCUCAGCUCCGUACACGCCACAGCAGAAUGGCGUCGUCGAACACAAGAACAGAACACUUAUUGAGAUGGCCCGGACGAUGCUUGAUGAAUACAAGACUCCAAGAAAAUUUUGGCCGGAAGCCAUUGAUACUGCAUGCCAUAUCAUCAACCGUGUUUAUCUUCACAAGCUUUUGAACAAGACAUCCUAUGAGCUCCUUACUGGCAAGAAGCCAAAUGUCAGUUACUUCAGAGUAUUUGGCGCCAGGUGCUGGAUCAAGGAUCCACACCACACUUCAAAAUUUGCACCAAAAGCACAUGAGGGUUUUAUGCUUGGAUAUGGAAAGGAUUCGCACUCCUACAGAGUCUUCAACCUUUUUCACUAUAAAGUGGUUGAAACAGUGGAUGUGCGGUUUGAUGAGACGAACGGCUCACAAAGAGAGCACCUACCAAAUGUGCUAGAUGAAGUUCCAUCCAGUGAAUCAAUCAAACUUAUGGGAACUGGAGAAAUCAUACCGUCUGAAGCUCAGCCUGAAGAGGAACUUAUCAUCUCCGCACCUGAUCAACCUGAAGACAAUGCUCAGCCUGAAGACAAUCCCUCUAACGAUGACAAUGACCAGCAAGAGCAAAGUCUUCGUCCUGUACAUUCUCGUGUUGCAAAUGAAGUACAGAUUGAGAGAAUAAUUGAUAGUAUCAAUGCACCAGGUCCACUCAGUCGUUCAAGGGCAACACAGCUAGCAAAUUUCUGUGGGCACUUCGCAUUCGUCUCAAUAUCUGAACCCAAGAAAGUUGAAGAAGCCUUCAUGGAACCUGAAUGGAUUCAAGCUAUGCAAGAAGAGCUUCAACAGUUUGAGCUGAAUAAUGUAUGGGAACUGGUUAAGCGUCCCGAUCCUCGCAAGCACAAUAUAAUAGGCACCAAAUGGAUAUAUCGCAACAAGCAAGAUGAGCAUGGUCAAGUUGUUAGAAACAAAGCUCGUCUCAUUGCUCAAGGGUACACUCAAGUUGAAGGGAUUGACUUCGAUGAAACAUUUGCUCCUGUGGCUAGACUUGAAGCCAUUUAGUUUGAAGUUUAUGGCUGCAGAGAAAUCAGUAAGGAAGGGUGGCAGACAGCGUCGUGGGGGAAUGUCAAGAGAUUUGCCUGAUGACCUCUCCGAGCUUUACAAGACAGACCCUGAAGAGGAUUACAAUCAGCGCAAGACCCGAAUCCAAUGGAUUCGAAGAUAUUGGGCAAAACAAUGGUUCAAGUACAGGUUUGUGACCCAGGAAUAUGCUGAGAAAAAUGCCAUCAAGCGACCAUGGGGAGACAUCCUAUAAAGAAAUCUUCAAUCCAGGUCCAGAGAUGAAGCCAUUGAACAAGGCUUCUAUCCCUGCAUGGUCCGUGGACCACAGCCUGCGGAUGCACACCCAUCGUCAUUGCUAUGGUGUCGUGACGACAAUCUGUUCAAACGCAACUUCCAGUUUGCCAAGAAUUCGUCUAAGCAAAACAAGAAGUCAUUGGGACUAGACUUCAACCCUGGUCCUUCUGCUCCCCUUGCUGAUGGCACCACGAAGCUGAACCCAAUCUUGUUGGGCCCUUCUACAACCUGGAAGGUCUCAUCACUCAUAUCAUGGUUCAAGGGACAGCCGUGGAUGAGCCUGUAGAUGACGCUGAAUCUGAUGAAGCACAUGCACCGCCGAAGCCAAAGAAACUGAAGAAGCCUAAAGCUUCAAAGCCUGCCUCAGCACCAAAAAUCUCACGGGCGAAGCCACUGGCUACUGCACCUCCUGAAGACAGUGUGCAGUCUGAAGAUUUGUCACGCAUCUCCAAGCCCUCGAGAGUAAAGAUGCCUUUGCAACACACCAGCCAAGAACUGACUGCUGCUGCUAUUCUGCGCAACGACGCCAUUGAUCUGUCCAGCGAUGAAGAUCUUGCAGACAAUGCUCUUGAGCAACUGAUCAAGAGCAAAGAAGAAGCAGAAAUCUUCAAUGAUUUGCCUCUCUUUGACGUGGCAAUCAUCCACAACUUCAUUGAUGAGUGGUUUGACAUGCCCAACCUCAGCUUUGAAGAUCUGCAACUUCCAAUUGGCCUUAGUGUCGCCUUCCAUGGCGCCAUUGCUUCAGAGCUAGCUCUAGCUCAGCGCAUCGUUGAACUGAAGCAAAAGAUCGACUUUGAGAAAGCUCAGUUCAAGAAGCACAUGGCCAAGCUUAGUGUGCAAGAGGUGAAAAACUUCAAGAUUAUGCUGCACGAGCUCAAGGAAGCCUUUCUCAAAAAACGUGCAGAAGCUCAAGGUUCUCAUGAACGCAUGAAUAGCCUGGUUGAAAAGUGUGUGCAAGCCUACAAUGAGGCUGAGAAGCGCAAGGCUCUUGGUCGUCCUGGCAUCGACCCAAGAAUGGCUGCAAAGAAGAAGAAGCCCUCAACUGAUCAAUCUGCACCUUCACGGCAGGAAGAACCUCGCAUAGUCUUCCCAGCCAGCAUGACUGGCUCGAGUCAGGUCAACCGCUUCAGAACUGAAGAAGAUGAGGAAUGCUGAGGCUGAAUCGAGAAAGAGGAAACAUCCUGAAGCCUCUGAUGUUGCUCCCUCCAAGAAGAAGCGCAAAACCAAGAAGGAUCGGGCUGCUCCCACAGAGCCCUUAGUUGUUGAACCUAUCUCAAUGGUUCACCCUGCAUCUGAACGUCAAGAGCGCCAACUGAUUGUCCAUGAGCCUGCUUCCACAGAGGCUCAUGAAGCUGAAGACACUCCAGCAGUUGAUCCCACCGCUGCUGAAGACAUUGGUCACCAUGACAAUGUUGAAGAUGAUGCAGUUCUUCCUCAGAUCGAGCACCAACUGGUAUCAUCGCCUGUGCUUACGCACAACGAACUCAUCAGCAUUGGUCGUCCUCUGACGCCAACUGCUCAGGAGGCAUCAUGGGCUGAUCACCCACAACAACAAGACACCCCGAGUACUCCCUGACAACAAGUCACACCACCCCGGCAAGAAGAAGAAGAUGACUUUGAGGCCCAGCCAACUCCAUCUCCAAAGGCGUCGCCAGUGUUACGCAGGCUUCGCAAAGGACCAAGGUCUCAAGUCCCUCUUUCGAGCGUUCCAGAAGGAGAAGUGCCCCACCAAUCUGUUGCACAUCAAUUGUUUCCAGAUGCCACUCCUACUGUGAAUGUCUCCGAGUCUGAGGCUAAAGCUGCUGAAGACAUUCCGGCUGCAUCAACCGACGACACAUAAGAAGAAGAACGUGUCCCUACUCCCCCAUUACUGAAGAAGCUGUUCCCGAGGAGAACGUGUCUGUGCCCGACCCUCCAGCUCAUCAACUGGAGGUUGAGAAUCUUGAGGCUGCCACCCCCAACACAAAUGAAGCCAAUGACGUAGUCAUGGCUGAAGCAAAUGUGGAGCCUGCACCAACCAAUGUGCCAGAAGUCAAUGAAGCCAAUGAUGCAACUGCUCUUGAAGCCUCUGUUGUGCAGCCUAACGCCUCUAUUGCCACUGCUCCUGUUCCUACACCUGCUGCUGGUCCUUAGUUUGACUAUCACGUUGAGCACAGGCCUCAGGUACAGAAGCCAAUGCCAAGGUUGCCCAGGUUUCCAGGUCCUGCAGCGGCACCCGGAUCUUUUAAUGUCAAUGGCUUCAAAGCAGACAACACCUUCUUCAAUAGCGCCAAGAACCCCUACUCCAGGGAAAGAAUAUCUUCUGAUCGAUUCUGGAGCUAUCCGCAGUGAAGUUAUUACUCAUGCAUUCUGUACAAUCAAGGUCGCAUUUUCCCUCAUAUGCGUCUUGACACUGAAUCCAUAACUGGUCUACCUUGCUUGGAAGAAGCUCUGGAUUGCUUCAAAGAGUCUGGAUUGUUGCCGUUUGUCACCGACAAAGAGCACUGGAACGAAGAAUUGCUGCUCCAAUUCUAUGCCACUCUUCACAUUCGUGGCUACAACAGAGAUCGAAGACUUGGGUCCUUGAGUGGAUGACCGGCAAUGUUCAUCACGAAGCCAAAGCCUUUGAUAUCAUUGAGCUCACUGGUCUGCCCACUCCUGGAGAUCUUUAUGAACCUGGUUGUCAGCUUCACAGUGCAGCUAUGGAGAGCAUCUUUCAGAAGCCUGAACCAAACAUGAGUCAGAUGCUUAGCAUGAUGAAGCCUUUGCCUCCAGAUGCUGCAUAUCCUAGGGAGUUCUUUGUUGAAGACCUUGAGUAUCUGCCACGCACUAUCUAUCACAUUAUAAGGUGAACUCUCUGGCCCAUCAAAGGACAUUCUCCACAUGCAAAGCUGGAAGGUGCAAUGAAGACUUUGGUCUUUCAUAUUCUUCACGGCAAAUGCUUUAAUGCACAAGACUUCUUCAUCCGCCAACUUGCUGCAUCAGGAUCUGAUAUUUUUGGCUUAAAGUUUUACGCUCCAUGGAUAAUGCGGCUGAUCAAACUACACUCAGCUGUCUCGUAUCAGCCCUCUGCUCGCAAUCAUCGGAUCUUUCUGCCUGACGUUGAUAUGUCCGUUGAAGCCAUCUAUCCAGAGCCUGCCGAGGAGCCUCUUAGUCUUCAAAAUGCUGAGCAUCAAAGCUUCUCUCAAAACAUUGAAGGAGUUGAAGCAGUCACUCGUGUUUAUCCUCUGGCUGGUACUACACGUGCACCUCAUCGUGCCCUCACCGAAGACACUGAAAGCACCAUUGCCCAACGGCCCAAGAAGCGAUCUCGUGUUCUCAAUGACCGAGAGCUUCUGGUUGCCCUUCAUCAGAAACAGGAUAGGCAUCAUGACUGGCUGAAGCUCCAAAGGCAAAGCCUCUUGGUGGACGUAAACAGGAUUCGCAAUCUUGCCACCAAGAAUGCCUUUGUUGCCCAUGAAACCUGUCGGCGUACAUGGAAAGGACUGACGCUUAUGUGCUCUGAGGAUGAUCUUCAAGAGGAUGGCUUCUCUGAACGCUUCAAGUUUGACUCCACACCUCCAAGAAGGACUGUGCUGCGACAAACUCCGUCUCUUGAAGACUCUGAGUUCUCUUCCUCCGCGGCAACUUUGAAUGCCAGAGUGAUCGAUGACGAAGACGAUGCUACUUCACCGCCCCCUACUUCUGCAUGCAUCGACACUGCCCCGAGUUCGUCUGCACCGCCUAACAACACCGACGACCUUGCUGCUUCACCUAGUCCUCCUGGGAACGAGUAGAUGCUCUAUGUCUUCAUACCUUUUUGGUCCUUACUGACAAAAGGGGGAGAAGCAUAUGAGUUUGAUAGUCUUCAAGCAGGUCCAUAUGGGUGGUUGCUUUAUAUUUUGCCUAGUGUUUACAACUCUCGUUUUGAUACAUUUGGUUCUUUGAGUUGUAACACUUAAACUCGAUGGUCGUCUGCUACUUAUUUGCUAUUCUGUGAUGCGAUGAUAAAUUCCGCAUGUGCGAUGAUAAAUUCCGCACUUAGAUCAUUUUGCAGACAUCCAUCUUUCAUUAUGCAUGUCAUUAUCUUCACAUACUUUUCAUGCAUGAUGAAUUGCCAUCAUAAGUUGAAGAGGAUCUCCACAAGUACAACUUGCCAUGUGCAUUUGCAUUCCAAAAGCAAAUUACUUAUAUGCACAUCUUCAGGGGGAUCCCUUACAACUUAUGAAGACAAUCCCCUAUCCUUUACAAUUUCACAUAUUAUAUUCCCCGUUGAAAACUUCAACUAGUUUGUCAUCAAUCACCAAAAAGGGGGAGAUUGUAAGUGCAUCUAGUGCCACCCCUAGUUGGUUUUGGAGUAUUGACGACAAACCUAGUUGAGGGACUAAUAUGUUUGUGAGAAUUGCAGGAUAAUACAGGUAGAAGUCCCUCAUUGAUUCGGUUUUCCUACCAGAGAUGACCCCUAAAAAUGUAUGAAGACAUUGAAGUCAAAGGUGGUAUGUGAAGACAUUCACAUUGAAGACUAUGACAAGAGAAGACAUCGCGUGAAGACUAUGGAGUGCGAAGACUUAGUAGUUUCAUCGUUCUGUGUUUUUCUUUGUUGAGUCAUAGGAACCACCAUACUGUUAAGUGGGGUCCAAGAGAACCAGUCAGAAUGACUGAAGUGAUGCUUAACCAAAAUCCUAUGUCUUCGAGUGAAGACUAUGAGAGCAAAUCUUGUCCAGAGCUGGAUAAGUCAGCCUUGCUUGUAGCCCAAGUAAAGUUGCCGUGUGUGUUUGAAAUCUGACCAUUGGAACACGUGUCAGUUCCUUAGUGACCCAGGGUCAUUUCGAACAAAUCAGGUCGGGUUGCCUAGUGGCUAUAAAUAGCCCACCCCCUACAACCAUAAACGGUUGGCUGCUCAGAGUUAAAGCACGACUUUUGUCGUUUGAGAGCAACCCACCUCGAAGCCUUUGAGAGAGAAUUCCUUGCGAGGAUAAAGCCCUAACCACCCAGAGCCAAAGAGUGUUAGGCAUCACUUAAGUCUUCCUGUCUGUGUGAUCUAAAGAGUUAUUACACUUGAGGACUGUGAAUCCUCCAGCCGGUUAGGCGUCGCGUUCUGAGCAUCCAAGAGUCAUUGUGGAUCGCCGGUGAACGAAGUCUGUGAAGGUUUGGAAGUCUACCUUAAAGACUUACCAGAGUGAUUGGGCGAGGACUGGGUGUCCUUAGCUCAAGGGGAAUAAGGUGAAGAUGAGGUCUUCUGAGUUGAAUCUCAGCCUCCCUAACCAGACAUACAGUUGUCACAGCAACUGGAACUGGUCCAACAAAUCAUUGUCUUCAACGAGUCACUGGUUUCAUCCUUCCCUUCCCUUUACUUACUGUUGGUCCUUGUGAAGUCAUUGUACGAUUGCAUCACCAUUUGGCUUCACUGAGUGAUUACUUGUUUUGAUUGGCUUCACAAUAUCUUCCUACCUGAUCCUUACUGCCUAGCUGCUAUUAGUCAUUGUGCUUUCACUUCAUUGAAUACUUGACUAUGGUUUGCCUAGUGUAUUCUACCUUACGCUGCAUGGUAAUAGGUUUAUUUCUAUCGUUUGUCUUCGAAACUUACAUGUUUUGAAGACUUUCAUAAAAAUCGCCUUUUCACCCCCCCUCUAGUCGAUCACUAGCACUUUCAGGUAAAAUAGCAAAAAACAAGAUAGCCCCUGACUCUCCAUUAUGGAGAAUGGAGAUUAUCCUAUCUCCAAUUCUUGCCUUUCGCUUAAUGUUACUUCCAAGAACCUCCUUGCGAAUGUCCAAACAUUUUUUCCAUUCUUUGAUUAGCAUGUGUUCACCGGUUUUAGAAAUCUGAUAUGCACAGGUGAGCUCCUUAGAUUGACCUGGCUGUAUGUUCAGAACUGCAAGGCGACCAUUCUGAUACAUCAGAUGAGGCACACAAUCCAUCAGGAUUUUCUGUUGAAAAACAUAGUAAUAACUUCGUAGUUAGCAAUGAUGUACUAGUUUUAGAAGUAUGCAAAAGAUGCACGGAUGUCGUAAUAGUAAAAAAUCUUACCAGGAUAUCUCCAUAGAAGUUAUCGUGGUUCAACACGUGCACUAGUGGCACGUAUUCAUCAUAAUUUGGAGGAGUUCCAUAAUUGGUAUUGUAAUUCUCAAGGUAAGUACAAUAAGCAAUCAGAUGACUUUUCUCCUUAUAAAUUAAUUCAGAGCCAUCAGUGUAGUGGGUUUUGUCUACCAUCUUCUGCACAUUCUUUGAAGAUUCAAAAUAGGCUGUCAAUGGAAAUAAGCUGUCAACUAUUUUGAAAUAAACAAUAUAAAUUAGUUAAUAACUAUGUUUGAGAAACUCACAUUGCGGUAGAAUCGGAAGCGUAUCAACAAGGACCCAAAUGUCCAUAUUGUCUUGCUCGAUGUCAGGAUCACCAAGAUCCAUGGUGAUAAUCAUACCCUCAUAAAAACCAUACAUUUUGCAAAGUGCUUCCCAAUUUUGGCAACCAAAAUGGGUUACGCUCUGAGAAUUGUACAGAUUUACUUCAAAAUCGAUAUCAUGAUGGGUCCUUAGGUGUAUUUUCUUUGUUUGAAAAUUUUCAUGGUCUUCAAAACCCAUCCUCUCCAAGACAUAGCGUUUGCAUGACAUGGGAUAAACUAGUCGAAUUGUAAAAGACGAAAAUUAGAUGUGGAAAUAGUUGAAGUCAUGCUUAAUUACGAAAAAAACACUUGUUGUUGUUGCGUACCGUUUCAACAUCGAAGGUCUCCUCGAGCUUAAUGCUGAAGCGCCGAUCUUCGUCCAGCUCAACGAACAUGUCGCACAUACCUCGAUCGUCGUGGCACCAGCUGCAUUCCCUCGGGAGACUGUCGUCGUCCGAGUACGACAUUUCCUACGUUCAUAAUUCAAAGAUUAAACUUGUACAAUUAAAUAUAUGUACUAAAAAACCUAAAUUAGAUCAUUAUUUUUUGAGAAAAUCCAGGCCACUCGAUAUUUCCUACAUAUUCUAGCACAAGUCAUGCCAGAAUUCACGGAAAAAUCCGGCAUGACCUUUGCUAAAAAAGGACAUAUCGAGCGCCUGAGAUUUGCCGGAACGGAAAUUAAUCAACACUCCGGCAAAACAUAGGCCACUCGGAGGUGUAAACUGAACAUGAACGGCCACUUGGGCAACCACAUAUCCUAUUUGAGCAAAUAUGACAUGUUCAACUAGUUUUAUUAAUUCAACUAGUUCUUACUAAAUAUAAACUUACUAUGAAUAGAAAAAAACUAGUUCUUUCUAAAAAUAAAGUAGUUCAACUAGUUAUAUUAAUUAUCUUACUAAAAAUACAUUAGUUCUAUUAAUUCAACUAGUUCAACUAGUUUAUUAAUUUACUUACUAAACUAGUUCAACUACAACUAAAGUAGUUCAACUAGUUUAUUAAUUUACUUACUAAAAUAAACUAGUUUUUACUAAAAAUAAACUAGUUCAACUAGUUAUAUUAUUUUUCUUACUAAUUCUAGUAAACACUUACUAAAAUUUAACCCUAACUAAUUUGAUGAACUCUAAAAUUUAAUCUUAACUAAUUCGAUGAACUCUAAAACUAAUUCUACUUAACAACUACUGCCAUAAUUAGCAUCUAAUUUGAUGAACCCUAACUNNNNNNNNNNNNNNNNNNNNNNNNNNNNNNNNNNNNNNNNNNNNNNNNNNNNNNNNNNNNNNNNNNNNNNNNNNNNNNNNNNNNNNNNNNNNNNNNNNNNNNNNNNNNNNNNNNNNNNNNNNNNNNNNNNNNNNNNNNNNNNNNNNNNNNNNNNNNNNNNNNNNNNNNNNNNNNNNNNNNNNNNNNNNNNNNNNNNNNNNNNNNNNNNNNNNNNNNNNNNNNNNNNNNNNNNNNNNNNNNNNNNNNNNNNNNNNNNNNNNNNNNNNNNNNNNNNNNNNNNNNNNNNNNNNNNNNNNNNNNNNNNNNNNNNNNNNNNNNNNNNNNNNNNNNNNNNNNNNNNNNNNNNNNNNNNNNNNNNNNNNNNNNNNNNNNNNNNNNNNNNNNNNNNNNNNNNNNNNNNNNNNNNNNNNNNNNNNNNNNNNNNNNNNNNNNNNNNNNNNNNNNNNNNNNNNNNNNNNNNNNNNNNNNNNNNNNNNNNNNNNNCGGAGUUAGGGAGAGGGGCAUGCGGCAUCGAGGUUGGGGACGGGGUCAGGGCGGUGGGCGCACGGCGGAGGGCGGCGAUGUAGGGGGGGUGUGUUGAGGUCGGGGUCGGGGGCGGCGUCGAGGUCGCGGUCGGGGGCGGGGGCAGCGUCGAAGGUGUGCGGAGAGCGACGGGUCGCGCGUGGCGGCCGACGAUGAUGCAGGGCGGCGACAGCGGAGGAGGAGGGAUUUGGGGGAAGUGGCCGUGGGGGAAGAACGAACCGCGCGGUUAAGUUAAAAGUAACAGUAGCGCGUUCCAGGAAGUGCGCUGCUGCUACGGUAGCUAUAACGCGUUUCCUAACAAGCGCUACUGCUAUUCCUUCUCUUUUUUAUUUGCUUUCCAUUUAAUUUUAUUUUCAUUAGCAGUAGCGCCUUUGUUCGUAAACGCGCUGCUACAAAACAAGUAGCGGUAGCGCGGUUCCACGUAGAUCACUAUUACUAUGUGUAGCCUAUCGGCUAAGCUGUGGGAAUUUUAGUAGUAGCGCUUUUAUACUCGGGCGCGCUACUGCUAUAACUGUAUCUGUAGCGCGGUUUUAAAUACCGCGUUGCUGCUAAUUAGCACCAGCGUGCGUUUUUAUCCCGCGCUACUGCUAAUGUUCUGUGUAUAAGGUUUUCCCUAGUAGUGUAAUGUCAUAUGCAACUAAAAGAUUCAGUGGCAUACACAAAAAAAGAUUCAAUGAGAAUUGAUUGAAUGACAUACACAACAAAUGAACGAAUCAAUACAAAGUGUGGCAAAAAACGUACCAUGUCCUCCGCCACGAUUUCGUCAAACAUGACCUAGGCAAACCUGGCGCCGAUGGUUCCUAGGGUUAUCUGCACCCAAUGGAGUUGCGGUGAGUUGUACACCAUCUCUGACGCGUCUUGUUUCGCCAAGCUAUCUGGAAUCCCCGCCCAUUCGGACGGCAGAAUGGACUCGGUCACGAGCGGACUGGAUGACACCUUCUUUCUUAGUGGUGGGGCAGAUGCGUAUGGGGCGAUCGGCUCCACUGGAUCGGAUGCAUCCAUGUUGAUGUGGAUCACCUCCUUGGUCGCAGCUUCCAGUUCACGCCACCGGGCGUGCUGCUCCUUCUGGGAGAUCUUCUCCACCUUACAACUGACCCCCACAGACUCCGCCAAGGCAACAUGCAUGGCAGAGGUGGGGGACGGGGUACUUGGUGAUAGCAUCUACGAUGGUGGAUGAGGGAGGCGACGUGGACUGGGAGCAAUGGUGGAGGACAACGAUGACUCAGACGCGAGAAAUGGAGGCAUAUGCGGGAGGAGGGCGGUCAAUUAGGUGGACUAGGUCAAUUUGGAGGGAUUUGGGGUGGGUCUGGUCUGUCAGAUCCGAUGUGGCGGACGCGUUUGGGCCUCCCCAUAUCCGUNNNNNNNNNNNNNNNNNNNNNNNNNNNNNNNNNNNNNNNNNNNNNNNNNNNNNNNNNNNNNNNNNNNNNNNNNNNNNNNNNNNNNNNNNNNNNNNNNNNNNNNNNNNNNNNNNNNNNNNNNNNNNNNNNNNNNNNNNNNNNNNNNNNNNNNNNNNNNNNNNNNNNNNNNNNNNNNNNNNNNNNNNNNNNNNNNNNNNNNNNNNNNNNNNNNNNNNNNNNNNNNNNNNNNNNNNNNNNNNNNNNNNNNNNNNNNNNNNNNNNNNNNNNNNNNNNNNNNNNNNNNNNNNNNNNNNNNNNNNNNNNNNNNNNNNNNNNNNNNNNNNNNNNNNNNNNNNNNNNNNNNNNNNNNNNNNNNNNNNNNNNNNNNNNNNNNNNNNUGGUCCAUCUCUCUGGACUUUCGGGGACGAUAUGAGAGGGGUCCAGCUGUAGAUGCUCUUAAAGCAUCUCCAACAUAUCCAACAACAACAACAACAACAACAACAACAACAACAAAUCCUUUAGUCCCAAACAAGUUGGGGUAGGCUAGAGGUGAAAUCCAUAAGAUCUCACGACCAACUCAUGGCUCUGGCACAUGGAUAGCAAGCUUCCACGCACCCCUGUCCAUAGCUAGUUCUUUGGUAAUACUCCAAUCCUUUAGGUCUCUCUUAACAGACUCCUCCCAUGUCAAAUUCGGUCUACCCCGACCUCUCUUGACAUUCUCCACACACUUUAGCCAUCCACUAUGCACUGGGGCUUCUGGAGGCCUGCACUGAAUACGCCCAAACCAUCUCAGAUGAUGUUGGACAAGCUUCUCUUCAAUUGGUGCUACCCCAACUCUAUCUCAUAUAUCAUCAUUCCGGACUCGAUCCUUCCUUGUGUGGCCACACAUCCAUCUCAACAUACGCAUCUCCGCCACACCUAACUGUUGAACAUGUCACCUUUUAGUCGGCCAAAACUCAGCAUGUUGGGGAACGCAGUAUUUUAAAAAAAUUCCUACGAUCACGCAAGAUCUAUCUAGGGAUGUGUCAUGGGGUUAGCACGGCAGAUGUCCUACUAUGAAGACUUAGUCGUGGAGCCAUCACACUAGGUUAGCUUAAAGGGGUUAAAUAGGACAAAGGACAUGGAGGUUUUAUACUGGUUCGGCCCCUUGCGGUGAAGGUAAAGGCCUAAUCCAGUUGAAGGUGGUAUUGCUAGAUUUCGAUUACCGGGGAGCGAAUACGCUUGACCUAGUUCUCAAUUUGUUGUCCCUAACUCGCCGCUGGGUCAUCCCUUUAUAUACAUAGGUUGACGCCCGGUGGCUUACAGAGUCCCGGCCGGCUUAUAAACGUAUCCGGCUCGGUGACCUAAUUACAAUUGCCUUAUAACACAAGUCACAUACAUAUGGCGGUUUACACCUACGGGCCUUAAGCCGCCUUUGGGCCUUUGGGCUUUCAUAAGUCAUCUUCAUGAACCGCCAUCUUCAACUCCUUCCUGGGCUUUGUCCUAUGAGUCGCCAGGUGUAUAACUCGGCCCCUCCUGGGCAGGUUAACUCAGUAUCUAUAUCCCCAACAUUAGGCCCCAUGUUGAUUUGAACUUGUUCAUAUCAAUCUUCAACACUUAGGAAAAUUCCUUCUUCAUUACCUUCACGAGAACUUGUAACUCGCCGUGACGUCAUCCUCUGGAAUUAUGAUAACCCGCCAUGAUGUCACCUGUCAUUAAUUUUAUACAACCAAAUCUUUAAUGCAUCUCCUCAUUUUUAAUGAAUCUCCAAAAAUCGAGGCGUCUAUACUGUCACAUAUCCGUUCUUUGGUCUCCUCGAUUCUCGCGCUUGUCACUUAUCCAUUUGCCUUAUAAAUAGAGCGGGGGCUUCUUUCACUUCCCCCCGUACCUCUUCGUCUUGCCUUCUUCCUCGCGAUGCCCUAGCAUGCGAGCUCUGCCGCCACCGUCGACCUUCAUCUCUGCUCCAACAUUGGUCGCUGCAUCAACCUGUUCGGAUCAGAUCUCCUCCACGCAUCUCCGCUGUUCAUCAACCCUGGUUAGUUCUCCUUUUUUCCUUUUCUCCUAGAUCUGUUAGGGUUUACACGAGUUCAUGGAAGCUCAUCGCUGUUCUUCGCUGUUCUUUGCUGUAGCAUAAGCACUCAAUUCAAACUUAAUACCUUUCUUGUGCAGUAAUAGCCAUAGUUCCCUUUUUCAUCAUCAGAGUGUCUCUUUUUAAAUAGAAAAUCCAAUCUGGACCUUAUGAACUUCUCAAGAACCAAUAUUUAGGCCUGAAUAUACUUUCAUUUCCUAAUACGCGGUAGAUCCAAAAUUGUAAUAUCAAUAUGUGAAACCUGUUUUUCAUCACUUAGCGAUUUUUUCCAUCUUCAGAUCUAUACCUUCAGUACCUGUUCAGGCAGUUUAACUCAGAAAAGUAAUAUCCCGCCAAGCACCAUUAGUCCCCUCUUAAACCGCCAAUGGCUCAUUUUUGUAAUUUGAUAAUGCUAAUCUUCAACUUAGCACCUAUGCAUGCUCCAUCAUUGUCUGCCUUUUAACCUCCAGCAACUUAACAUGAACCUUAAAUCGGCACAAAUUUUCUUUCAGGUCCUUGAACAAAUGGCCAAGUCCUUUUAUUCUUGUAACUGGGCUCAAUCCCAGAUUACAGAGGAAGAUCUAAAUGGGUGUUGAUGGUGUCCUGGACUAGGGGGUACUCACCACGUCGUCUCCUGAUCAGUUGGAUUGGGCCGAGGACCCCCAUGGCCGUGUACUCAUGGGCCAGUUCGGACAACCCAUGCCUCAUACAAGGAAGACUCCACAAGACUUGGCGCCCAAGAUAAGGACUCUCCUAAAACCCUAGGCCUCCGGUGUCUUAUAUAAACCGAGGCUAGGCUAGUCAAUAGACAAUCUCAUAUUCAUUAUUACCAUCUAUCGUCCAAAUAUGCACCAUGUUGACUUAAGCGAUUUACAAGCUAGUCAAUAGACAAUUGUGGCAUAUUUGUUCGUGUAUUACAACACAAUAUGCACCAUGUUGACUUAAGCGAUUUUCAUGCUAGGUUGCCUCGCUCCUGUGUUUACCCCUACGUUCUCGAUUGUUCGGCUAGGGAGUAAAGGGAGCACCUCUGCGAUUGUCAUGAUUGGGUCAUCCGAGCCGGACCUCAGACUGGGUGAAGCCGAAAGCUAGCGCUCUUAUUUUCAAUUAUGGUCGGCACACAACGGAACUCAUGAGUACAAAAAAUCUAUUGCACAAGUCUCAUAAUAAUAAUGAGCACCGAAGAAAGGUAUCGGUGGGGGUACUAUUUUCUUCGAAGAUGCUUCUUACACUUUGUCAGUAAUAUAUCAUAAGUUCCCUGAGCGCGCUUUGUCUGUUACAACCAUAUGGCCUGAUUGCCUGGUUAUCAGAAACACCGUUGAUAUUCUCGACAGGUGGAGUGCAUAACACUUUUCGGUCCUUGACCGAAGAGGGAGAAGCCGAGGGUCGGUUAAGACGCGUUUAAAGUUCGGGUGAACACAAAUAUGAUACAAGUACUUCGGUACAUACGAUCAUUAUACAUAAAAAUUCUUUUACCCAAGUCACUUGGGGGCUCUUAAAUUUAUAUGAGCCAUUUUAUAAUAAAUGGUUUCUUCCUAGUUGUUGCAAAGUCUUUUUCUAUCGCUCCUUUUUCGACGCGAGUGUGUGGUCAAUAGUCGGGGAGCCUAAUUUCUCUCUCAAAGCCGCUAGAGUUUAGUUUGCUAAAUUGGCCUAACGAUUAGUACCCCGCCUUAGGGAUAGGAGGUUGAAGCCGUAGGCUGACCCGCUUGAAGUCUUGAGAUAGGAUGUGUCAUAUUAAAGCACGACAUAAGCACUUUUUUCUUCUUCUUUUCUAAGACCAAUUUUCGAAUUGGCACCGAACACUUGAUCUUGUUCGGACGUCUAGUUUUUACUAACGUUUUUUGGUUUUCCAAGCUUAUGGCACUGCUAAACUAUUUGUGUCUUUCCCGCAUAAGUCGCGCAGUGCAACGCCGGAUACCUUUAGAGAUUCGGCAAAAAACAUUCUCGGAUAUUACUAUAUAUGCAUUAGUUUCGAAUUGUGUCUUCGGUCAAUAGUUGGGUUGCCCGGCUCCUGUGCUUGAUCGCCUACGUUCCGCUUUGUUUGGCCAGGUGUGCAAAAGGAGAACCACUGCAAUUGUGCUUCCAGCUAGCAUGGUUAAGCACCUUAGUGGAGAAAGCCGAAAACUGACUGUCACAAUAAGCGUAAACUGGUCAGUGAUCCGAUGACUGUGUUAAAUGAUGGGCCGUUCAUAACAUUGGUCGGAUUGUUUACGGCUUGACCUCGGCUGUCGCCGAACACUAACCGGGGGCUCGUAGCUAGCUUCCCUAAUUUAAAACUCCUCUAACUAAGUGAAAGUUAUAAAGCCCGCAUAUCUGAUUGCCUCGUUUCCGCUAACACAACCGCCUUCGGGCACCGAGACGUUGGCUAAGGGUUGUCUUGUUAUUGCGGAAACACCCUGCAUAGUAUCUACAAAGGGGUAGAAGCCGACGAUGGGCCACUUUCAACUGAUAAACGGUCACUACGGAGUCAAAAUAAACAUAUCAUCGGCAUUUGUAUUUUACUUUGGCUAUCGAUCCUUAAUUCGGCCACCCGUGCCCACAUUAAUGCUCGGGGGCUACUGGGCUUCGUGCUUAUUAAUUACAAACAUUAAAGGGGUACAUCGAUCCCCUGAUCUGGUGUCUCCACCCGACCAGUGUCUCGGGGGCUAAUGCAUUGGCAAUCCAAUGCAGAAAAUUUAAAAGCAAUAUAGUUUUCGAGGAGAUUAUUAUCCUCAGGUUGGUCGGCCGCACCCAACCCGAGUCUCGAGGACUUUGCACACCGCGUUUCUAUUCCUAAGUAUGCUGCCGAGCUGGGAAUUGAUCCUCAGGCUGAUUUUAUGUAUCGACCUGAGACUCAGGGGCUACAAGGGUAAGCGGUUUGUUUUUUUCCUUCAGGUGCAUCCCGGAUAUUAGGCCAACACGCACCUUGAGGGCUAUUGGCUAUACAUCUCGGCAGAGAUUACAUUGCACAAUUCGGAAUUAAAUUCAUAAAAAUCAGCCCAUGGUCGAGGUGGUGCACCACCUCGGAUACAGUCCGACGUUGGUGCUCGACUAUAAUAGACACCCUGGAUGCAGUCCGGCAUAAAGCUCGGAUGCCAGUGGCUAGCUCCGUAGAGGGCAUUUCCGGCAUUAAGCUCAGCUAAACUCCUUCAACUUUUUUGAACCAAGGUGAUCUAUGACACCUCAAAUACAGUCCAGUGUUGGAGCUUGGACAUAGUCCGGCGUUGGAGCUUGGACAUAGUCUGGCGUUGGAGCUCGGAUACAUUCCGACGUUGGAGCUCGGAAGCGGUCCGACGUUGGUGCUCGGCUGCUAAAGAUACCUCGAAUGGAGUCCGGCGUUGGAGCUCGAACGCAAGAGGACGUUGCCGCUCGGGAACAACUUCAAACCCAAGGUAUGGCAUAAAAAUAACAAGGCAUUGAUAAAGGCCGGAAACUUAAAGGGGCUCCUCGGAUACCCGAUGUGUAAACUCUUCGGAGUCACCUCGUCGAUCCUCAAGAUCAAAGACAAGAAAAUUUGUUGAACCGGUUUUCAAGACCAACGACCGAAGGUGAAGAACAGUUCGGAAGAAUCGAGGAGCGUCCCCAACUUGAAGACCGGUUCAGGGGGCUAUUGACGGUGUCCUGGACUAAGGGGUACUCACCACCACGUCUUCCGAUCGGUUGGAUUGGGCCGAGGACCCCCAUGGCCAUGUACUCAUGGGCCAGUUCGGACAACCCAUGCCGCAUACAAGGAAGACUCCAUAAGACUUGGCGCCCAAGACAAGGACUCUCCUAAAACCCUAGGCCUCCGGUGUCUUAUAUAAACCGAGGCCAGGCUAGUCAAUAGACAAUCUCAUAUUCAUUAUUACCAUCUCGUGGUAGACACAUGUACUCUGUACUAUGCCCAUAUGAAUACAAUCAAAAGCAGGACGUAGGGUUUUACCUCCAUCAAGAGGGCCCAAACCUGGGUAAAAUCCGUGUCCGUGUUACCAUCGCUCCAAGACGCCUAGCUUAGGACCCCUACUACGAGAUACGCUGGAUAUUGAACCGACAGGUGUGUUGCUAUCGGCGCUUUAGCCAAAAAGGAAGUUAUCCACUGGAGGGGCCCUAGUUUAGAAAAUCCUCCUGAACCCAAGGAUGGGGAAGUGGUCGUCUUUUUGACCAUCUAAGUCGAGGGUUCAGCCCUCUUGGAUCAAUUUUUUUUCGUGAUGUGCUUCAUUUCCUCCAGCUUCACCCCCAAGAUAUUGGACCUAACUCCGUGUCCAAUAUUUGCAAUUUUCAAGUGUUCUGUGAAGCUUAUCUUCAAGAGGAGCCCACGGUUGAUCUGUUCAGAGAUUUUAUUACUUCAACCGCCAUACGGAAUUUGUGGACGGGCCCAAUACUGAACUUGGCAGGGUAUUAAUUCAAAAGAUAAAAGAUGUCAGCUUCCCUCAUGCUAACCAUCAUAGCCACCCCAAAGAUUGGAAUCAGACCUGGUUCUAUUGUCGAGAUACAUCUCCAACUAGCGAAAAUCCUCUGCUGGGUUACCAUGCUCACUGGCUUACCAGCACACAUCCGCUCCCCCAAAGACUCAGUGCAAAGGAACAGGCCAAGUAUGCACCAAAGCUUUCAAAACUCAGAGCCUUUGUGGCAAACGGUUUAAUGGGCAUUGACUUUGUCUGUUGCUGGGUGUCUUGGAGUAUUCUUCCCUUAAGUCGUUGCCUAGGGUUAAUGUGUGAGUACACAGGGGACGUGAAAGACCCUCAAUGCCACACUAACAUUCAGCUAUCCGACGCAGAAAUUACUGAAGCCGUCAAGAAAAUGUUGAAUGAACUAGUGGCUGAGUGUAGCAAAACAAGGCUUAGUCCUUUCUGCACUGUCAACAAACCACCAAAUGUAAGAAUUGUUCAACUCCUGCUUAAUCUAUAUUCUGAAUAUCCCUUUAUGAUCUUUUCAAUCUUGAUAGGUUGAUGAUCCGUUCUGGAAGAGGAAACCGCUGGAUAAACCGGUGAAAGCACCUCGUACAAAAACCAAGGUCAACAAGAGGCCUACCAAAAGUAAAACCGCCGAGUCCACCGAGUUGAAUAUUGAUGAUGAUGAUGAUAAUCAUGAAUCAGAGGUAGAACUUGAUUCACUAGGCUCUUUUUUCAUACAUAUCAUUGACAAUGAUUAUUAUCAGGAUGACGCAGAGGCUAGCCAUGUUGGUGACGCAGAGGUAAUUAUUCUUUCCUCCGGCUCAGAACCUCUGCCAACACAGAAAACCCGUCAAGCAAGCCGGAAAGUAAGAUUUUCUCACCCUCUAGCUUACUUGGAUCCAAACUUUCUUUUGAACAAACAGCAACACGAAGCUUGUCGCACGACCCGGCAUAGUGGCAAUGUGAUCAUCUCUUCCGGUUUAACAAACACUCCACUUCGCAAACACCGUCCAGAGGUUCUACAUCUUCCUGACAUACUCUACCCCAAGGCGGGUUAUUUUCGACAACCUCUUAAUCCGUCUGAUUCAAACUAUCAGGGGACUUCCCAUUCCUCUUCUGGCGAGUCAACAGGAACACAGAUUCCUGCUUUCAAAACUGUACCUGGGUAAGUUUAUUUCCAACUAUUACAACUUGCAUAUUUGAUCAUCCUCUUGACUUUCAUUUAUGACUUUUCUUUUCAGGGCCCAAGCUAAACCCAACAAGAAGGCCAGGUUAAAUAAACCGGUUGAUGACUCCAAUCUGUUAGAGCCGGAACAACAACCAGAGCUUUUAUCAGCCAAUCAUUGACAACAUUGUGGAUGAUUUGCCACCACGGGAUCAUGAUGUUGAUAUUGACCCAAUGAAUGAUAACCCAUCUGAUGCUAAUCCGCCAAAUCCUAUCAAGACAACCAGCCCUGUUAAAUCGCCGGAGCAAAAAGAUGCUGAUGUUACUAUUACUGGCCAUGGUUUCACAACUCCGGGUCAUCCUACUACCUUAUCCAGGCAUGACACCAAAGAAGAACUUACUGCUGAAGAUAAGGGCAAGUGGAAAGUGAACCUGGAGAGCUACACUCAUUUCAGUGCCCAAGACCUUCACUCUGGCUAUUUGAAUCUCCUAUAUACCAGUCGUGACUUCGAAGCCGGCUUAGUGAACUUGAUGAAGGAACGUUAUGAGGUAAAUAUUGCAAUCCCUUUCACAUAAGUAUAUUUCCCUUAUCUGCUGAUAUGUCUCCAACGUAUCUAUAAUUUUUGAUUGUUCCAUGCUAUUAUAUUAUCAACCUUGGAUGUUUUAUAUGCAUUUAUAUGCUAUUUUAUAUGAUUUUUGGGACUAAUCUAUUAACCUAGAGCCCAGUGCCACUUUCUGUUUUUCCUUGUUUUUGAGUAUCGCAGAAAAGGAAAAUCAAACGGAGUCCAAUUGACCUGAAAUUUCAUGGAGAUCAUUUUUGGACCAGAAGAAGCCCACGGAGUACCAGAGAUGGGCCAGAAGAGUCCCGAGGCCACCACGAGGGUGGGGGGCGCGCCCUACCCCCCUGGACGCGCCCCCUACCUCGUGGCCGCCUCGGGGUCCCCACUGACUUGUUCCCGACUCCAACACCUCUUAUAUAACCCCAAACUUCCAGAAUGAAACCUAGAUCAGGAGUUCCGCCAUCGCAAGCCUCUAUAGCCACCGAAAAUCAAUAUAGACCCGUUCCGGCACCCUGCCGGAGGGGUGAAUCCCUCUCCGGUGGCCAUCUUCAUCAUCCCGGCGCUCUCCAUGACGAGGAGGGAGUAGUUCACCCUCGGGGCUAAGGGUAUGUACCAGUAGCUAUGUGUUUGAUCUCUCUCUCUCUCUCGUGUUCUUGAUUUGGCACGAUCUGUAUGUAUCGCGAGCUUUGCUAUUAUAGUUGGAUCUUAUGAUGCUUCUCCCCCUCUAAUCUCUUGUAAUGGAUUGAGUUUUCCCUUUGAGGUUAUCUUAUCGGAUUGGGUCUUUAAGGAUUUGAGAACACUUGAUGUAUGUCUUGCAUGUGCUUAUCUGUGGUGACAAUGGGGUAUCACGUGAUCCACUUGAUGUAUGUUUUGGUGAUCAACUUGCGAGUUCCGUGACCUCGUGAACUUAUGCAUAGGGGUUGGCACACAUUUUCGUCUUGACUUUCGGGUAGAAACUUUGGGGCACUCCUUGAAGUUCUUUGUGUUGGUUGAAUAGAUGAAUCUGAGAUUGUGUGAUGCAUAUCGUAUAAUCAUACCCGUGGAUACUUGAGGUGACAUUGGAGUAUCUAGGUAACAUUAGGGUUUUGGUUGAUUUGUGUCUUAAGGUGUUAUUCUAGUACGAACUCUAUGAUAGAUUGAAUGGAAAGAAUAGCUUUGUGUUAUUUUACUACAGACUCUUGAAUAGAUCGAUCAGAAAUAAUAACUUUGAGGUGGUUCCGUAUCCUACAAUAAUAUCUUCGUUUGUUCUCCGCUAUCAGUGACUUUGGAGUGACUCUUUGUUGCAUGUUGAGGGAUUGUCAUAUGAUCUAAUUAUGUUAUUAUUGUUGAGAGAACUUGCACUAGUGAAAGUAUGAACCUUAGGCCUUGUUUCCUAGCAUUGCAAUACCGUUUGUGCUCACUUUUACCACUUUCUACCUUGCUGUUUUUAUAUUUUCAGAUUACAAAAACCUAUAUCUACCAUCCAUAUUGCACUUUUAUCACCAUCUCUUCGCUGAACUAGUGCACCUAUACAAUUUACCAUUGUAUUGGGUGUGUUGGGGACACAAGAGACUCUUUGUUAUUUGGUUGCAGGGUUGCUUGAAAGAGACCAUCUUCAUCCUACGCCUCCCACGGAUUGAUAAACCUUAGGUCAUCCACUUGAGGGAAAUUUUCUAUUGUCCUACAAACCUCUGCACUUGGAGGCCCAACAACGUCUACAAGAAGAAGGUUGUGUAGUAGACAUCAAGCUCUUUUCUAGCGCUGUUGCCGGGGAGGUGAGUGCUUGAAGGUAUAUCUUUAGAUCUUGCAAUCGAAUCUUUUAGUUUCUUGUUUUAUCACUAGUUUAGUUUAUAAAAGAAAACUAAAAAAAAUGGAAUUAAGGUUGCCUCAUAUGCUUCAUCUUUUUAAUGUCUUUCAUGAAAAUAAGGAUUCCGAUAAUUGUGCCAAAGUGUUAGAAGAAGAAUGUAUUAAAAUGGUUGGCACUAAAUCUUUGGAUGACGAGCAUGAUUGCAAUGUUUUUAGUAUGAAUUCUUUGAAUAUCCAUGAUGCUAAUGAUAUGCAAAACCACAAGCUUGGGGAUGCUAUGUUUGAUGAAGAUGAUAUUUUUUGUCCCCCAAGUUUUGAUGAGAAAAUUUAUUAUGAUAGCAUGCCUCCUAUUUAUGAUGAUUAUAUUGGUGAAAGUGGGUUUGGAAGAGUGUCAACUUUAGGAAGUAAUGAUCCCACUAUUUUGGAGGGUGUUGAAUCUUAUUGUGAUAAUUAUGAAAGUGGAUUUGGAGAGGUCAUGGCUUUAUUUAGUGAUGAAUCCACUAUUUUGGAAGAGGUUCCAAUUGAUUAUGUGAACAAAGUUGCUAUCUAUGAUGAUUAUUGUGAUGACAUGUAUGCUAUAAAGAAUAAUGAUAACCAUGAAACUUAUCAUCUUAAUUUUAAUUCUCAAUUGGAUUAUGCCUUACAUGAUAGUUAUUUUGUUGAGUUUGCUCCCACUAUUAUCCAUGACAAUAAAUUUGCUUAUGUGGAGAGUAAUAAAAUUUCUAUGCUUAUGCAUCAUGAAAAUAAUGAUUUAUGUGAUAGUUAUAUUGUUGAAUUCAUUCAUGAUGCUACUGAAAAUUAUUAUGAAGGAGGAAUAUAUGCUUGUAGGAGUUGCAAUAAUAUCAAGUUUCCUCUCUAUGUGUUGAAAAUCUUGGAGAUUUGCUUAUUUUACCUUCCUAUGCAAGUUGAUUGUUGUUCCCACAAGUUGUUUGCUCACAAAAUCCCUAUGAAUAGGAAGUGGGUUAGACUUAAAUGUGCUAGUAAUAUUUUUCAUGAUGCUCUCUUUAUGUUUCAAUUCUUAUCCUUUAUGUGAGCAUCAUUGAAAUCAUCAUGCCUAGCUAGGGGCGUUAAACGAUAGUGCUUGUUGGGAGGCAACCCAAUUUUAUUUUUGUUCCUUGCUUUUGGUUAUGUUUAGUAAUAAAUAAUUCAUAUAGCCUCUGUUUAGAUGUGGCUUUCUGCUUUUAAUUAGUGUUUGUGCCAAGUAGAACCUUUGGGAAGACUUGGGGGAAGUUUUAGCGAUCUUGCUGUAAAAAACAGAAACUUUAGCGCUCACGAGAUUUGCUGCCAUUUUUUACUAGAGAGUGAGAUUAGGUUGAUUAUUUUUCAGAUGAUUAAUAGACAAAUUCCUCACGUCCACCAUUUUAUUUCAGAAUUUUUGGGGUUACCGAAGUAUUCGAAACCUACAGAUUACUAUAGACUGUUCUGUUUUUGACAGAUUCUGUUUUUCGUGUGUUGUUUGCUUAUUUUGAUGCAUCUAUGGCUAGUAUCGGAGGGUAUGAACCAUAGAGAAGUUGGAAUAAAGUAUUUUUAACACCAACAUAAAUAAAUAAUGAGUUCAUUACAGUAACUUAAGUGGUGGUUUGUUUCUUAUACUAACGGAGCUCAUGAGAUUUUCUGUUGAGUUUUGUGUUGUGAAGUUUUCAAGUUUUGGGUAAAGAUUUGAUGGAUUUUGGAAUAAGAAGUGGCAAGAGCCUAAGCUUGGGGAUGCCCAAGGCACCCCAAGUUAAAAUACAAGGACAACCAAAAGCCUAAGCUUGGGGAUGCCCCAGAAGGCAUCCCCUUCUAUCGGUAACUUUACUUGAGGCUAUAUUUUUAUUCACCACAUGAUAUGUGUUUUGCUUGGAGCGUCUUGUAUGAUUUGAGUCUUUGAUUUUUAGUUUACCACAAUCAUCCUUGCUGUACACACCUUUUGGGAUUGACACACAUGAAUUGGAAUUUAUUAGAAUACUAUAUGUGCUUCACUUAUAUCUUUUGAGCUAGAUAAUUUUGCUCUAGUGCUUCACUUAUAUGUUUUAGAGCACGAUGGUGGUUUUAUUUUAUAGAAAUUAUUGAUCUCUCAUGAUUCACUUAUAUUAUUUUGAGAGUCUUAGAACAGCAUGGUAAUUUGCUUUGGUUAUAAAAUUAGUCCUAAUAUGAUAGGCAUCCAAGAUGGAUAUAAUAAAAACUUUCAUAUAAGUGCAUUGAAUACUAAGAGAAGUUUGAUACUUGAUGAUUGUUUUGAGAUAUGGAGAUGGUGAUAUUAGAGUCAUUCUAGUUGAUUAGUUGUGAAUUUGAGAAAUACUUGUUCUAAAGUUUAUGAUUCCUGUAGCAUGCACGUAUGGUGAACCGUUAUGUGAUGAAGUCCGAGCAUGAUUUAUUUAUUGAUUGUCUUCCUUAUGAGUGGCGGUCGGGGAUGAGCGAUGGUCUUUUCCUACCAAUCUAUCCCCUAGGAGCAUGCGCGUAGUACUUUGUUUCGAUAACUAAUAGAUUUUUGCAAUAAGUAUGUGAGUUCUUUAUGACUAAUGUUGAGUCCAUGGAUUAUACGCACUCUCACCCUUCCACCAUUUCUAGCCUCUCUAAUACCGCGCACCUUUCGCCGGUAUCAUACACCCACCAUAUACCUUCCUCAAAACAGCCACCAUACCUACCUAUUAUGGCAUUUCCAUAGCCAUUCCGAGAUAUAUUGCCAUGCAACUUUCCAUCGUUCCAUUUAUUAUGACACGUUCCAUCAUUGCCAUGUUGCCUUGAAUGAUCAUGUAGUUGACAUCGUAUUUGUGGCAAAGCCACCUUUCAUAAUUCUUUCAUACAUGUCACUCUUGAUUCAUUGCAUAUCCCGAUACACCACCUGAGGCAUUCACAUAGAGUCAUAUUUUGUUCUAAGUAUUGAGUUGCAAUCUUUAAGUAGUAAAUAAAUAAAAGUGUGAUGAUCAUCAUUAUUAGAGCAUUGUCCCAAGUAAGGAAAGGAUGAUGGAGACUACGAUUCCCCCACAAGUCGGGAUGAGACUCCGGACGAAAAGAAAAAGAAAGAAAGAAAAGAGGCCAAAAAAAGAAGAAGGCCCAAAUAAAAAAAUUGAAAAAAUGAGAGAAAAAGAGAGAAGGGACAAUUCUACUAUCCUUUUACCACACUUGUGCUUCAAAGUAGCACCAUGAUCUUCAUGAUAGAGAGUCCUAUGUUGUCACUUUCAUAUACUAGUGGGAAUCUUUCACUAUAGAACUUGGCUUGUAUAUUCCAAUGAUGGGCUUCCUCAAAAUGCCCUAGGUCUUCGUGAGCAAGUGAGUUGGAUGCACAUCCACUUAGUUUCUUUUUGAGCUUUCAUACACUUAUAUCUCUAGUGCAUCCGUUGCAUGGCAAUCCCUACUCACUCACAUUAAUAUCUAUUGAUGGGCAUCUCCAUAGCCCAUUGAUACGCCUAGUUGACGUGAGACUAUAUUCUCCAUUUUGUCUUCUCCACAACCACCAUUCUAUUCCACCUAUAGUGCUAUGUCCAUGGCUGACGCUCAUGUAUUACGUGAAGAUUGAAAAAGUUUGAGAACAUCAAAAGUAUGAAACAAUUGCUUGGCUUGUCAUCGGGGUUGUGCAUGAUUUAAAUAUUUUGUGUGAUGAAGAUAGAGCAUAGCCAGACUAUAUGAUUUUAUAGGGAUAGCUUUCUUUGGCCAUGUUAUUUUUAGAAGACAUGAUUACUUUGUUAGUAUGCUUGAAGUAUUAUUAUUUUUAUGUCAAUAUUAAACUUUUGUCUUGAAUCUUAUGGAUAUGAAUAUUCUUGCCACAAUAAAGAGGAUUACAUAAUAAAUAUGUUAGGUAGCAUUCCACAUCAAAAAUUCUGUUUUUAUCAUUUACCUACUCGAGGACGAGCAAGAAUUAAGCUUGGGGAUGCUUGAUACGUCUCCAACAUAUCUAUACUUUUUGAUUGUUCCAUGCUAUUAUAUUAUCAACCUUGGAUGUUUUAUAUGCAAUUGUAUAUGAUUUUUGGGACUAACCUAUUAACCUAGAGCCCAGUGCCACUUUAUGUUUUUUCCUUGUUUUUGAGUAUCGCAGAAAAGGAAAAUCAAACGGAGUCCAAUUGACCUGAAAUUUCACGGAGAUCAUUUUUGGACCAGAAGAAGCCUAUGGAGUACCAGAGAUGGGCCAGAAGAGUCCCGAGGCCACCACGAGGGUGGGGGGCGCGCCCUACCCCCUGGGCGUGCCCCCUACCUCGUGGCCGCCUCGGGGACCCCCCGACUUGUUCCUGACUCCAACACCUCUUAUAUAACCCCAAACUUCCAGAAAGAAACCUAGAUCGGGAGUUCCGCCGCCGCAAGUCUCUGUAACCACCGAAAACCAAUCUAGACCCGUUCCGGCACCCUGACGGAGGGGGGAAUCCCUCUCCGUUGGCCAUCUUCAUCAUCCCGGCGCUCUCCAUGACGAGGAGGGAUUAGUUCACCCUCAGGGCUGAGGGUAUGUACCAGUAGCUAUGUGUUUGAUCUCUCUCUCUCUCUCUCUCUCUCUCUCUCGUGUUCUUGAUUUGGCACGAUCUUGAUGUAUCGCGAGCUUUGCUAUUAUAGUUGGAUCUUAUGAUGCUUCUCCCCCUCUACUCUCUUGUAAUCGAUUGAGUUUUCCCUUUGAAGUUUUCUUAUCGAUUGGGUCUUUAAGGAUUUGAGAACACUUGAUGUAUGUCUUGCAUGUGCUUAUCUGUGGUGACAAUGGGGUAUCACGUGAUCCACUUGAUGUAUGUUUUGGUGAUCAACUUGCGAGUUCCGUGACCUUGUGAACUUAUGCAUAGGGGUUGGCACACAUUUUCGUCUUGACUCUCGGGUAGAAACUUUGGGGCACUCUUUGAAGUUCUUUGUGUUGGUUGAAUAGAUGAAUCUGAGAUUGUGUGAUGCAUAUCGUAUAAUCAUACCCACGGAUACUUGAGGUGACAUUGGAGUAUCUAGGUGACAUUAGGGUUUUGGUUGAUUUGUGUCUUAAGGUGUUAUUCUAGUAUGAACUCUAUGAUAGAUUGAACGGAAAGAAUAGCUUCGUGUUAUUUUACUACGGACUCUUGAAUAGAUCGAUCAAAAAUAAUAACUUUGAGGUGGUUUCAUACCCUACAUUAAUCUCUUCGUUUGUUCUCUGCUAUUAGUGACUUUGGAGUGACUCUUUGUUGCAUGUUGAGGGAUUGUUAUAUGAUCUAAUUAUGUUAUUAUUGUUGAGAGAACAUGCACUAGUGAAAGUAUGAACCUUAGGCCUUGUUUCCUAGCAUUGCAAUACCGUUUGUGCUCACUUUACCACUUGCUACCUUGCUGUUUUUAUAUUUUCAGAUUACAAAAACCUAUAACUACCAUCCAUAUUGCACUUGUAUCACCAUCUCUUCGCCGAACUAGUGCACCUAUACAAUUUACCAUUGUAUUGGGUGUGUUGGGGACACAAGAGAGUCUUUGUUAUUUGGUUGCAGGGUUGCUUGAGAGAGACCAUCUUCAUCCUACGCCUCCCACAGGUUGAUAAACCUUAGGUCAUCCACUUGAGGGAAAUUUUCUACUGUCCUAGAAACCUCUGCACUUGGAGGCCCAAUAACGUCUACAAGAAGAAGGUUGUGUAGUAGACAUCAUCUGCCAAGUUUACUGAACAUGAUAGAGCAGAAUGUGCGGUGAACGUCAAUAUUUGCAUAGAUAAAACUCAACAGCCAGACUGAUGAUAAUAAUACUUCAACUCUGCAUAUUUAGCCCCCAAGGGUAGGUUUAACAAUUUAUGUUAAGCCAGGACUUUUGAAUAUUAGAGAUAAACAUUGCAUCCCUGACCAGACUUUUGAUGGACCGGAGGGGAGAGUGUGUCCACAUACCCUCGUAGACCGAAAGCGGAAGCGUUAAGUAACGGGGUUGAUGUAGUCAAACAUCUUCGCGAUCCAACCGAUCAAGUACCGAACACACGACACCUUCGUGAUGUGCACACGUUCAGCUCGAUGACGUCCAUCGAACUCUAGAUCCAGCUGAGGCCAAGGGAGAGUUUCGUCAGCACGAUGGCGUGUUGACGGUGAUGAUGAAGUUAUCGACGCAGGGCUUCGCCUAAGCACUACGACAAUAUGAUCGAGGUGGAAAUCUGUGGAGGGGGGCACCGCACAUGGCUAAUAACAACUUGUGUGUCUAUGGGGUGCCCCCUCCCCCAUAUAUAAAGGAGUGGAGGAGGGGGAGGGCCGGCCUCCUAGGGCGCACCCCAAGGGGGUAUUCCUACUCCCACUAGGAGUAGGUUUCCCCCUUUUCCUAGUCUAACUAGGAGGGGGAAGGAAGGGAAGAGGGAGAGAAGGAAAGGGGGGGGGGCCCCAAACCCUACCCCAAUUCGGAUUGGGCCUAGGGAGGGCACGCGCCACACCUGGCCGCCUCCUCCUCUCUUCCACUAUGGCCCAUCAAGGCCCAUUAACUCCCCGGGGGGUUCCGGUAACCCCCGGUACUCCAGAAAAUACUCGAUACACCUCGAAACCAUUCCAGUAUCCGAAUAUAGUCAUCCAAUAUAUCACUCUUCAUGUAUUGACCAUUUCGAGACUCCUCGUCAUGUCCGUGAUCUCAUCCAGGCCUCUGAACUAACUUUGGUACAUCAAAACACAUAAACUCAUAAUACCGAUCGUCAUCGAACAUUAAGCGUGCGGAACCUACGGGUUCGAGAACUAUGUAGACAUGUCCGAGACUCAUCUCCGGUCAAUAACCAAUAGCGAAACCUGGAUGCUCAUAUUGGUUCCUACAUAUACUACGAAGAUCUUUAUCGGUCAAACCGUAUAACAACAUACGUUGUUCCCUUUGUCAUCGGUAUGUUACUUGCCCGAGAUUCGAUCGUCGGUAUCAUCAUACCUAGUUCAAUAUCGUUACUAGCAAGUAUCUUUACUCGUUCUGUAAUGCAUCACCCCGCAACUAACUCAUUAGUCACAUUGCUUGCAAUGCUUAUAGUGAUGUGCAUUACCAAGAGGGCCCAGAGACACCUCUCCGACAAUCGGAGUGACAAAUCCUAAUCUCGAUCUAUGCCAACUUAACAAACACCAUCGGAGACACAUGUAGAGCAUAUUUAUAAUCACCCAGUUACGUUGUGACAUUAGAUAGCACACUAAGUGUUCCUCCGGUAUUCGGGAGUUGCAUAAUCUCAUAGUCAUAGGAACAUGUAUAAGUUAAGUAGAAAGCAAUAGCAAUAAACUAAAUGAUCAUAGUGCUAAGCUAACGGAUGAGUCAAGUCAAUCACAUCAUUCUCUAAUGAUGUGAUCCCAUUCAUCAAAUGACAACUCAUGUCUAUGGCUAGGAAACUUAACCAUCUUUGAUUAACGAGCUAGUCAAGUAGAUGUAUACUAGUGAUAGUUUCUUUGUCUAUGUAUUCACACAUGUACUAAGUUUCUGGUUUAUACAAUUCUAGGAUGAAUAAUAAAAAUUUAUCAUGAUAUAAGGAAAUAUAAAUAACAACUUUAUUAUUUCCUCUAGGGCAUAUUUCCUUUAGUCUCCCACUUGCACUAGAGUCAACAAUCUAGAUUACAUUGUAAUGAUUCUAACACCCAUGGAGUCUUGGUGCUGAUCAUGUUUUGCUCGUGAGAGAGGCUUAGUCAACAGGUCUGCAACAUUCAGAUCCAUAUGUAUCUUGCAAAUCUCUAUGUCUCACUCCUUGACUUGAUCGCGGAUGAAAUUGAAGCAUCUCUUGAUGUGCUUGGUUCUCUUGUGAAAUCUGGAUUCUUUUGCCAAGGCAAUUGCACCAGUAUUGUCACAACAGAUUUUCAUUGGACCCGAUGCACUAGGUAUGACACCUAGAUCGGAUAUGAACUCCUUCAUCUAGACUCCUUCAUUUGCUGCUUCCGAAGCAGCUAUGUAUUCCGCUUCGCAGUAGAUCCUGCCACGAUGCUUUGCUUAGAACUGCACCAAUUGAUAGCUCCACCAUUCAAUAAAAAUACAUAUCCGGUUUGUGACUUAGAGUCAUCCGGAUCAGUGUCAAAGCUUGCAUCGACGUAACCAUUUACGACAAGCUCUUUGUCACCUCCAUAAAUGAGAAACAUAUCCUUAGUCCUUUUCAGGUAUUUUAGGAUAUUCUUGACCGCUGUCCAGUGAUCCACUCCUAGAUUACUUUGGUACCUCCUUGCUAAACUAAUAGCAAGGCACACAUCAAGUCUGGUACACAACAUUGCAUACAUAAUAGAACCUAUGGCUGAAGCAUAGGGAAAUACUUUCAUUUUCUCUCUAUCUUCUGAAGUGGUCGGGCAUUGAGUCUGACUCAACUUCACACCAUGUAACACAGACAAGAAACCUUUCUUCACUUGAUCCAUUUUGAACUUCUUCAAAACUUUAUCAAGGUAUGUGCUUUGUGAAAGUCCAAUUAAGCGUCUUGAUCUAUCUCUAUAGAUCUUGAUGCCCAAUAUAUAAGCAGCUUCACCGAGGUCUUUCAUUGAAAAAUUCUUAUUCAAGUAUCCUUCUAUGCUAUUCAGAAAUUCAGUAUCAUUUCCAAUCAACAAUAUGUCAUCCACAUAUAAUAUUAGAAAUGGUACAGAGCUCCCACUCACUUUCUUGUAAAUACAGGAUUCUCCAAAAGUCUGUAUAAAACCAUAUGCUUUGAUCACACUAUCAAAGCGUAUAUUCAAACUCCGAGAUGCCUGCACCACUCCAUAAAUGGAUCGCUGGAGCUUACACACUUUGUUAGCACCUUUUGGAUUGACAAAACCUUUUGGUUGCAUCAUAUUCAACUCAUUCUUUAAGAUAUCCAUUAAGGAAUGCAGUUUUGACAUCCAUUUGCCAAAUUUCAUAAUCAUAAAAUGCGGCAAUUGCUAACAUGAUUCAGACAGACUUAAGCAUCGCUACAGGUGAGAAGGUCUCUUUGUAGUCAACUCCUUGAACUUGUCGAAAACCUUUCGCAACAAGUCGAGCUUUGUAGACAGUAACAUUACCGUCAGCGUCAGUCUACUUCUAGAAGAUCCAUUUAUUCUCUAUGGCUUGCCGAUCAUUGGGCAAGUCAACCAAAGCCCACACUUUGUUCUCAUACAUGGAUCCCAUCUCAGAUUUCAUGGCGUCAAGCCAUUUUGGGGAAUCUGGGCUCAUCAUCGCUUCCUCAUAGUUCGUAGGUUCAUCAUGGUCAAGUAACAUGACUUCCAGAACAAGAUUACCGUACCACUCUGGUGCGGAUCUUAUUCUGGUUGACCUAUGAGGUUCGUUAGUAACUUGAUCAGAAGUUUCAUGAUCAUCAUCAUUAGCUUCCUCACUAAUUGGUGUAGGAAUCACUGGAACUGAUUUCUGUGAUGAACUACUUUCCAAUAAGGGAGCAGGUACAAUUACCUCAUCAAGUUCUACUUUCCUCCCACUCACUUAUUUCGAGAGAAACUCCUUCUCUAGAAAGGAUUCAUUCUUAGAAACGAAUAUCUUGCCUUCGGAUCUGUGAUAGAAGGUGUACCCAAUAGUCUCCUUUGGGUAUCCUAUGAAGACACAUUUCUCCGAUUUGAGUCCGAGCUUAUCAGGUUGAAGCUUUCUCACAUAAGCAUCGCAGCCCCAAACUUUAAGAAACGACAACUUGGGUUUCUUGCCAAACCACAGUUCAUAUGGUGUCGUCUCAACAGAUUUCAAUGGUGCCCUAUUUAACGUGAAUGCAACCGUCUCUAAAGCAUAACCCCAAAACGAUAGCGGUAAAUUAGUAAGAGACAUCAUAGAUCACACCAUAUCUAAUAAAGUGCGGAUACGACAUGCAGACACACCAUUACGCUGUGGUGUUCCAGGUGGCGUGAGUUGCGAAACUAUUACGCAUUGUUUCAAAUGAAGACCAAACUCGAAUAUUCUCCUCCACGAUCAGAUCGUAGAAACUUUAUUUUCUUGUUACAAUGAUUUUCUACUUCACUCUGAAAUUCUUUGAACUUUUCAAAUGUUUCAGACUUAUGUUUCAUUAAGUAGAUAUACCCAUAUUUGCUCAAAUCAUCUGCGAAGGUAAAAAAAUAACGAUACCCACCACGAGCAUCUACACUCAUCAGACUGCAUACAUCGGUAUGUAUUAUUUCCAAUAAGUCUGUUGCUCGUUCCAUUGUUCCGGAGAACGGAUUCUUAGUCAUCUUGCCCAUGAGGCAUGGUUCACAAGCAUCAAGUGAUUCAUAAUCAGGUGAUUCCAAAAGCCCAUCAGCAUGGAGUUUCUUCAUGAGCUUUACACCAAUAUGACCUAAAAGGCAGCGCCACAAAUAAGUUGCACUAUUAUUAUUAAACUUAUAUCUUUUGGCUUCAAUAUUAUGAAUAUGUGAAUCACUACUAUCAAGAUUUAGUAAAAAUAGACCACUCAUCAAGGGUGCAUGACCAUAAAAGAUAUUACUCAUAUAAAUAGAACAACCAUUAUUCUCUGAUUUAAAUGAAUAACCGUCUUGCAUCAAACAAGAUCCAGAUAUAAUGUUCAUGCUUAACGCUGGCACCAAAUAACAAUUAUUCAGGUCUAAAACUAAUCCUGAAGGUAGAUGUAGAGGUAGCAUGCCGACGGCAAUCACAUCGACUUUGGAACCAUUUCCCACGCGCAUCGUCACCUCGUCCUUAGCUAAUCUUAGCUUAAUCCGUAGCCCAUGUUUCGAGUUGCAAAUAUUAGCAACAGAACCAGUAUCAAAUACCCAGGUGCUACUGCGAGCAUUAGUAAGGUACACAUCAAUAACAUGUAUAUCAAAUAUACCUUACACUUUGCCAUCCUUCUUAUCCGCCAAAUACUCGGGGCAGUUCCGCUUCCAGUGAUCAGUCCCUUUGCAGUAGAAGCACUCAGUCUCAGGCUUAGGUCUAGACUUGGGCUUCUUCACUUGAGCAGCAACUUGCUUUUCUUCUUGAAGUUCCCCUUCUUCCCUUUGCCCUUCUUCUUGAAACUGGUGGUCUUGUUGACCAUCAACACUUGAUGCUCCUUCUUGAUUUCCACCUCCGCAACUUUUAGCAUCGCGAAGAGUUCGGGAAUUGUCUUAUCCAUCUCUUGCAUAUUAUAGUUCAUCACGAAGCUUUUCUAGCUUGGUGGCAGUGAUUGAAGAACUCUGUCAAUGACACUAUCAAUUGGAAGAUUAGCUCCCAGCUGAGUCAAGUGAUUGUGGUACCUAGACAUUCUGAGUAUGUGUUCACUGACAUAACUAUUCUCCUCCAUCUUGCAGCUAUAGAACUUAUUGGAGACUUCAUAUCUCUCAAUCCAGGCAUUUGCUUGAAAUAUUAACUUCAACUCCUGGAACAUCUCAUAUGCUCCAUGACGUUCAAAACGUCGUUGAAGUCCCGGUUCUAAGCCGUAAAGCAUGACACACUGAACUAUCUAGUAGUCAUCAGCUUUGCUCUGACAGACGUUCUUAACGUCAUCAGUAGCAUCUGCAGCAGGCCUAGCACCUAGCGGUGCUUCCAGGACGUAAUUCUUCUAUGCAACAAUGAGGAUAAUCCUCAAGUUACGGACCCAGUCCGUGCAGUUGCUACCAUCAUCUUUCAACUUAUCUUUCUCUAGGAACGCAUUAAAAUUCAACGGAACAACAGCACAGGCCAUUUAUCUACAACAACAUAGACAUGCAAAAUACUAUCAUGUAAUAAGUUCAUGAUGAAUUAAAGUUCAAUUGAUCAUAUUACUUAAGAACUCCCACUUAGAUAGACAUCCCUCUAAUCAUCUAAGUGAUCAUGUGAUCCAUAUCAACUAAACCAUCUUCGAUGAUCACGUGAGAUGGAGUAGUUUUCAAUGGUGAACACCACUAUGCUGAUCAUAUCUACUAUAUGAUUCACGCUCGACCUUUUGGUCUCAGUGUUCCGAGGCCAUAUCUACAUACGCUAGGCUCGUCAAGUUUAACCUGAGUAUUCUGCUUGUGCAAAACUGGCUUGCACCGUUGUAUGUGAAUAUAGAGCUUAUCACACCCGAUCAUCACGUGGUGUCUCGGCACGAUGAACUGUAGCAACGGUGCAUACUCAGGGAGAACACUUAUGCCUUGAAAUUUAGUGAGAGAUCAUCUUAUAAUGCUACCGCUGUACUAAGCAAAAUAAGAUGCAUAAAGGAUAAACAUCACAUGCAAUCAAUAUAAGUGAUAUGAUAUGGCCAUCAUUAUCUUGUGCCUUUGAUCUCCAUCUCCAAAGCACCGUCAUGAUCACUAUCGUCACCGGCUUGACACCUUGAUCUCCAUCGUAGCAUCGUUGUCGUCUCACCAACUAUUACUUCUACGACUAUCGCUACCGCUUAGUGAUAAAGCAAAGCAAUUACAUGGUGAUACAUCCCCGUCGUAUCUACUUUUCCAAACACUUUUGCACUUGUUUUGGACUCUAACUUGCAUGAUUUGAAUGAAACUAACCCGGACUGACGCUGUUUUCAGCAGAAUUACCAUGGUGUUAUUUAUGUGCAGAAACAAAAGUUCUCGGAAUGACCUGAAACUUCACGGAACACCUUUUCGAAAAAUAUAAAAAAUCCCUGCAAAAGAUGAAGGCCAGGGGCCCACCACCUGUCCACGAGGGUGGGGGGCGCGCGCCCUACCUCGUGGGUCCCCUGGAGCUCCUCCGACCUCAAGUCCAACUCUAUAUAUUUGGUUUCGGGGAGAAAAAAAUUCAGAGAGAAGAAAUCAUCAUGUUUUACGAUACGGAGCCACCGCCAAGCCCUAAAACCUCUCGGGAGGGCUGAUCUGGAGUCCGUUUGGGGCUCCGAAGAGGAGAAUCCGUCGCCAUCGUCAUCAUCAACCAUCCUCCAUCACCAAUUUCAUGAUGCUCACCGUCGUGCGUGAGUAAUUCCAUCGUAGGCUUGCUAGACGGUGAUGGGUUGGAUGGGAUCUAUCAUGUAAUCGAGUUAGUUUUGUUAGGGUUUGAUCCCUAGUAUCCACUAUGUUCUGAGAUUGAUGUUGCUAUGACUUUGCUAUGCUUAAUGCUUGUCACUAGGGCCCGAGUGCCAUGAUUUCAGAUCUGAACCUAUUAUGUUUUCAUCAAUAUAUGAGAGUUCUUGAUCCUAUCUUGCAAGUCUAUAGUCACCUACUAUGUGUUAUGAUCCGUUAACCCCGAAGUGACAAUAAUCGGGAUACUUACCGGCGAUGAACGUAGUUUAAGGAGUUCAUGUAUUCAGUACGUGUUAAUGCUUUGUUCCGGUACUCAAUUAAAAGGAGGCCUUAAUAUCCCUUAGUUUCCGUAAGGACCCCGCUGCCACGGGAGGGUAGGACAAAAGAUGUCAUGCAAGUUCUUUUCCAUAAGCACGUAUGACUAUAUUUGGAAUACAUGCCUACAUUAUAUCAAUGAACUGGAGCUAGUUCUGUGUCACCCUAGGUUAUGACUGUUACAUGAUGAACCGCAUCCGGCAUAAUUCUCCAUCACUGAUCCAUUGCCUACAAGCUUUCCACAUAUUGUUCUUCACUUAUUUACUUUUCCGUUGCUAUUGCUAUCAUCACUACAAAAUACCAAAAACAUUACUUUUGCUACCGUUACCUUUUGCUACCGCUACCACUACUAUCAUAUUACUUUGCUACUAAAUACUUUUCUAUAGAUAUUAAGGUGUGGUUGAAUUGACAACUCAGCUGCUAAUACUUGAGAAUAUUCUUUGGCUCCCCUUGUGUCGAAUCAAUAAAUUUGGGUUGAAUACUCUACCCUCAAAAAUUGUUGCGAUCCCCUAUACUUGUGGGUUAUCAAGACUAUUUUCUGGCGCCGUUGCCGGGGAGCAUAGCUCUAUUCUUUGAGUCACUUGGGAUUUAUAUUUUGUUAUCAUUAUGAAGAACUUGAGAGAUCCAAAAACAAAGAUUUAUCCCUCAACUACGAGGGGAGGUAAGGAACUGCCAUCUAGCUCUGCACUUGAUUCACCUUCUGUUAUGAGUAAGCUUGCGACACCUAAACCCGCUUCUGCUAUUCGUUCUGAUAUGUCUCAUGUUAUUGAUGAUGCCACUUCUGCUAUGCAUGAUACUUAUGAUGAAACUACUUCUAUGCUUGAUACUACUGUGCCACUUGGUGAAUUUCUUGAUGAACAACUUGCUAGGGCUAGAGAGAAUGAAAAUAUUGAAUCUGAUAAUACUGAUGAAAUUGAUGAUGAAGACUUGCCUGUUAUUCCUAAGGGUUAUGUUUUUGAUAAAGAAGCUUCUUUAGCUAUUUUAGCUUGCAAAGAUAGAUACGGACUCAAGAGGUUAUUAACUAAAUGGAAUCAGCAAUCUCUAAAUGCUAGAAUGAAACCUGACCCUGCUUUUGCUACUUCACCUAUCUGUGUUACCGAUAAGGAUUAUGAAUUCUCUGUUGAUCCUAAUAUAAUUACUUUGGUUGAAUCUGAUACUUUUCAUGGUUAUGAGUCUGAAACUGUUGUGGCACAUCUUACUAAAUUAAAUGAUAUAGCUACCCUGUUUACUAAUGAUGAGAGAACUCAUUACUUUUAUAUCCUUAAAAUAUUUCCGUUCUCAUUAAAGGGUGAUGCUAAGAUAUGGUUUAAUUCUCUUGAUCCUGGUUGUGUGCGUAGUCCCCAGGAUAUGAUUUAUUACUUCUUUGCUAAAUAUUUCCCUGCUCAUAAGAAACAUGCUGCUUUAAGGGGUAUAUAUAACUUUGUGCAAAUUGAAGAAGAGAGUCUCCCACAAGCUUGGGGGAGGCUUCUCCAAUUACUUAAUGCUUUGCCUGAUCAUCCUCUUAAGAAAAAUGAAAUACUUGAUAUAUUUUAUAAUGGACUAACCGAUGCUUCCAGAGAUUACCUGGAUAGUUGUGCUAGUUCUGUUUUCAGGGAAAGAACGCCAGAUGAAGCUGAAAUUCUAUUGAAUAAUAUGUUGGCAAAUGAUAAUAAUUGGACACUUCCUGAACCAGUUCCUGAACCAACUCCUGAGCCUAUUCCUAAACCAACUCCGAAGAAGAGGGGUAUUCUAUUUCUCAGUCUUGAAGAUAUGCAAGAGGCAAAUAAGUCUAUGAAAUAAAAAGGUAUAAAGCUGAAGAUGUUAAGAAAUUACCUCCUAUUGAAGAAAUACAUGGUCUUAAUUUACCGCCUGUUGAAGAAGCAUAUGAUCCUGAUCCAUUACCUAUUGAGGAAACUCAUGUCUUGAUAACCCGACACAGGUAGUAAAGUUAAAUUCUCUCUAUAGAUAUGAUAAAGCUGAAAUCCCAUUAACUAAAUUUGCUAGCCCAUGCUUAGAUGAGUUUGAUAAAUUUAUGGCUAAGCAAGAAGACUUUAAUGCUUAUUUUGGUAGACAAUUGAAAUACAAUUCAAAUAUGCUUGAGCACUUGGGUGAUUAUAUGGCUAAUCUUAAAGGUGAACUUAAACUUAUUAGUAAACAUGCUUCUAUGGUUACCACUCAAGUAGAACAAGUACUUAAAGCUCAAAAUGACUUGCUCAAUGAAUUGAAUAGUAAGAAUAAUGAUUAUGCUGUUAGAGUGGCUACUAGAACUUGUAAAAUGACUCAGGAACCUUUGUAUCCUGAAGGCCACCCUAAGAGAAUUGAGCAAGAUUCUCAGAGAAAUAACGUGGAUGCACCUAGUCCUUCUAAUAGGAAGAAAAAGAAAAAAUGAUAGGACUUUGCAUGCUUCUAGUAAACCUAUUACUGAAACACCUGAGAAUCCAAAUGAUAUUUCUAUUUCUGAUGCUGAAACACAAUCUGGUAAUGAACCUGAAACUAGUGAUAAUGUCAUGAUAAUGUUCAUGAUGAUCCUCAACCUAGUAAUGAUAAUGAUAUAGAAAUUGAACCUGCUGUCGAUCUUGAUAACCCACAAUUAAAGAAUCAACGUUAUGAUAAGAAAGACUUUGUUGCUAGGAAACAUGAUAAAGAAAGAGAACCAUGGGUUCAGAAACCCAAGCCUUUUCCUCCCAAACCAUCCAAGAAAAAGGAUGAUGAGGAUUUUGAGCGCUUUGCUGAAAUGAUUAGACCUAUCUUUUUGCGUAUGCGAUUAACUGAUAUGCUCAAAAUGAAUCCUUAUGCUAAGUAUAUGAAAGAUAUUGUUACAAAUAAAAGAAAGAUACCAGAAGCUGAAAUUUCCACCAUGCUUGCUAAUUAUACUUUUGAGGGUGGAAUACCAAAGAAACUUGGAGAUCCAGGAGUACCCACUAUACCAUGCUCCAUUAAAAGAAACUAUGUUAAAAUUGCUUUAUGUGAUCUUGGAGCCGGUGUUAGUGUUAUGCCUCUCCCUUUAUAUCGUAGACUUGAUUUGAAUAAGUUGACACCUACUGAAAUAUCUUUGCAAAUGGCCGAUAAAUCAACUGCUAUACCUGUCGGUAUUUGUGAGGAUGUGCCUGUUGUAGUUGCAAACGUCACUAUUUUAACGGACUUUGUUAUUCUUGAUAUUCCCGAGGACGAUAGUAUGUCUAUUAUUCUUGGAAGACCCUUUUUGAAUACUGCAGGGGCUGUUAUUGAUUGCACUAAAGGCAAUGUCACUUUUCAUGUUAAUGGUAAUGAGCAUACGGUAUACUUUCCGAGGAAACAACCUCAAGUCCACAGUGUCAACUCUAUUGGAAAAUGUCCAUCGAUUAUAUUUGGAGGUUUUGAAUUUCCUCUUCCUACUGUCAAGAAGAAAUAUGAUAUUCUUAUUAUUGGGGAUGUGCAUAUCCCCGUUGAGGUAACAUAGUGUUAUUUGAAAUUUCUCCGGUUCCAUGUUAUUCGGAAUGAGUUUGUUAACAAGACCUGAUCAACCUUGUUAGUGGAUUCCUUUUGAUGAGCAUGAGAUGGAUGAAACUAGAAGACACAACCUUCUGUACCCCACUUUUACUUUAUGUUAUUUAUAUUAAAUAAAAUAAAAAUAAAUAUUUUUUGCCUGUUAUCUGAUUAUCCGUGCAAUAUAAAAAUACCCUAAAAAUAAAAGUUCUCCAAAUGGCCUGAAAUUUAAAUAUGAUUUUUUCUAGAAUAUUUGAGAAUAUUUGGCACUGAGAACACAGCAGGGGGGUCAUCCAUCUGGCCACGAGGGUGGAGGGCGCGCCCUACCCCCUGGGCGCGCCCCCUGCCUCGUGGGCCCAAGGUAGCCCCCUCCACAUAUCCUUUCACCCACACACUCCUUCUUCCUCCCACAAACACGAAUAACCAGCUCAAACCCGAGUCAAAGCUCAUUUUGCUGCCAUUUUCGAUCUCCUUGCUCAAAGCACCUCUCACAAAACUGCUUGGGGAGAUUGUUCCUUGGUAUGUGACUCCUCCAUUGGUCCAAUUAGUUUUUGUUCUAGUGCUUUAUUCAUUGCAAAUUUGUGCUGCCUAGGUGACCAUGUUCUUGAACUUGCAUGUCAAAUUUAUAUGGUUCCAAGUAGUUUUAAUGCAUGAUAUAGGCUCUAGGCACUUGUAGGAGUAGUUGCUAUCAAUAUUAUUGAAUUUGGUUUACUUUUAUUUUGAAGUCACUAAAAAAUUUCAGAUUUUUUCAGAGGAAUAAAUAUGCUUAGGAAAAUGUUCCAAGGUGGUUCUUCAAGGAAGUAAAGACCCAGGCUUGCAAUGCGUGAUGCUGAUGAAGACUUACCAAGAGACGCUCCGAUGCGUCCUUGUGAAUGGCCUUUUGAAAACUUUAUGGAUCGAGCGGGAAUUAAGGAAUAAUUUAACGCAAUUUGCGUAACGCGGAUCUUGUGAGCUUCGAGAAAGAGAAGUGCAGCCAGUAUCACUAUUAGUUCCUUUGUGAGGAGGUUUGAAUUUUCAUCUUCAAGUAAUUCCCCAGCUGUCCUGUUUGAUCUUUAUGAAAAUUCUUAUACCAUGGACUUAGAGGAUUUUACCACUACUUGCAAACUUCCACAAUGGGGUAGUAUCAGGGAUCCUUGCAAAUCUGAAUUUAGAGAUUUUCUUGCUAGUAUAACUAUGGGGGAAUCUAGAGAUAUAACACAAGCUACCAUAGGGAGCAUUCAUUUUCCUGCUAUACAUUAUUUUGCUCUCUUCAUAGGUAGAUGCAUAAAUGGUAAAGAUGAAGCAUGUCAUAUGUGUGUUCCUGACCUCAAUAUUCUUAGGAGUGCUGUGUUAGGAGACAAAUCUUAUAAUUUGGGAGCCAUUGUUGCACGUAGGUUGCAUCCUAAUAGAUUUAAUGGAGAUUUCUUUGGUGGAAUUUAUGCAACCCGCAUUGCUAAUUUUCUUGGUAUAGCCAUACGCGAGGAUGAGAUUGAGUUGCCUCCUGCUUAUUUAGAUUUUAAUGCUAUGGUUCACCACCAGUUUGUCGAGAGGAAUGAAUCACCUCUCCAGUAUCGACUAAUCUUUGAUAGACGACGUGCUGUCCGUAUUACUCUCCCUGCUCCUGCCUUCUUUGAUUAUCAGGCAAAAGGAAGAUAUGUUAUUACCAGAGAGGAGGCAGAUGAGUAUGAGAGGAGAGCGGAGGCCGCUCGUCGCCACGCUGCAGCCCAGGAGGCGAUAGCCGCUGCAUCGCAGUACGACCCCAACUAUUAUUAUGGAUAUCCGCCAGGCCAGCCGUGGCCAUAGACCAACUUAGGCCAAAAGCCUAAGCUUGGGGGAGUACGUAUUUCCCACCGACACUACAUUUAUGUUCACACACUCAUUGCUAGAUGUCGGUGCUCAUACUUUUUCAUUGUAUCAUCCAUGCUACUUUACUUUCCUUUUUGUAGCGACCAGACCUCAAACAGUCUGAUCUCUGUGCUCUGGUGUCAUCCCUGGAUCAGUAAUGCUGACACCACACAGUACUCGAAGGAUUUAUAGCAGAGUAGCAAUCACACACUUAUUACAUCGAGUGCCUCAAAAGAGAACUUAUUACAAUAAAUAUGGCUUAAGGCCAUCUAAUAACGAUAACAGUGGAAGGCUUGGAAGAUAAGUGAGCCCAUCAACUCCAACGGCAUCACUGAGUAUAGAACCACGACCUAAAGACUCCUUAAUCGUCGUCUGAAAAGUCUGCAACAUUAACGUUGCAGCCUGAAAACGGGUCAGCACAUGGAAUAUGCUGGCAAGGUAACACAUAGAGAGUAAUGGAAUGCAACAGCUAUACUAUAUGCAUAUUUGGCUGGUGGAAAGCUCUAUGGUUACAGUUUUUGCGUAAAGUCAAAUUUUCCCUACUUCAAAGGAAUAAAUUUAAUUACUAUCAUGGUGGUUGUUAAACAUUGAGAAUGGUUGACAGCAUUCUCAAUCCCAAUUAAAGUAACAUCAUUAAACCCAACAAAAUUUACUUUAGAGUAACAUGUUGGGAUUCACAUGAUAAUCCAGGUACUAGAUACUCAAGAUGUCCAUAACCGGGGACACGGCUAACCAUGAUUAGUUUGUUACACUCUGCAGAGGUUUGCGCACUUUUCCCCACAAGACUCGAUCGCCUCCGUUGGAUUUCUCGCACUACAUGGUGUUUGAGAAACGGAUGACCGAGACAUAGUCUUUCAGAAGCGCUAGCACCUUACGAUCGGGUAGACCGUACCACCUACAUCCCCUACAUCUGCUAGCCUACCCUGUAAGAGUUCACACGACUUAAUCAACUAUGCCAGAGCCCAUAAUGGCUUGUGGCUGCACACGGAAGUUUCUAGUAUGACUAAUCUCAUGAUCCCUUUGAGCCUGGGUGGCGGUCCAAAAGAAAAACAGGCAAGUCCUGGAAUACCCAGGUGCCUCAAUCCACCCAGAUGUGUGUUUAAGUUGCCACCUUAGAUAAACCAUUAAUUAACCAUCUCACAUCUGUCAUGGAUAUCACUCACCCAAUCCACGUCUACUAGCAUAGCAUGGCAUAAUAAGCAAACGUAGAAAAUAACUCCCAAAGGUUUGAUAAUAAACAAGUAAUAGGUACUACCUCAUCUACUUCCCAUCCCACAAUUUAAUUAGAUCCUAAUCAUGCAAGGUGUGAGGAUUGAUCUAAUGCAAUAAAACUGGGUUGUAGAAAAGGUAUGAUCAAAGUGUUACUUGCCUUGCUGAUGAUCCGCGAAACCUAGAGAUUCAAAGUAACAGGCGGCGCACUCCGGGUAUUCUAUCGCAGACAAACAAACAAGCAUACAAUAAGUACUCAUCUAAUGCACAGGUAAAACUCAAAUAGAAGAUCUAACCAGAAAGUUCAACUUAAGAACCCUGGUUUGCAAAAAGAAUCAAAUCGAACGAAGCAAAAGAAAUCAAAUGGCGAAAGAAAACAACUUCGUUCUAGUAAUCUGGAUCUAAGUCAAAUUUUACAGUAGCAAAAACUUGUUCAAGUUGAUUAUUCAGAAAGAGGGUUUCGAGAUGAAACUCCAGGCGCUUGAAUCGCCUGAUUCCGAUAAACGAGCGAAAAGUUAUACUAAAAUGAAAAUUGAAUCAGAAAUCGCGAUCAGAAAAUAACCGCGGAAAAAUCUGACGAAAAAGAAAAACGACGAACGGAAUUUUUAUUUCCUAAAAAAACGGCACGGAUUUCGAGGGCGGCGAACCUCGGGCGAAGCGUGGCUCCAGCGGAUCAGCGGCGGCGGCGGCUGGCGGCGGUGGCUGGCGGCGGCUGGGCUGGCGGCGGCUGGGCCUAGGGUUUCGGGGCGGCUGGCCUUUGGGCUGGCUUGCCCCAGCUUAUAAAGGCCCCGGCCAGGGGAGUCCUGGCCGAGUACGGCCCAUAGUCGGUUCCGCUCUUUUUUUUAAAUAAUUACGCUCGGAAAUAAAAUAAAAAGAAAUACUAAACGGACUCCAAAAUUCCUGAAAUAAAUUUUCCUGGAUUUCUAGAAUCAAGCCCGAUAAAGUGAACAUUUAUUUUGGCCCUAAAUGCAAUUUUGAAAAACGCGCAUUUUUCCUAAAUUCAAAUAAAAAAUACCGAAAAACUCCGAAAUAAAUCUUAUUUGAUUUUUUUUAUUAAAUCCUCAAUAUUUCUAUAUUUUGGGAAAGUCAUUUUAUUCACUCUCUCAUAUUUUUGUAAUAGAAAUAAUUGAUGAUAAAAUAAAUAAAAUCAAAUGAUCCAGUUUACAAAAUUUGAGAAAACUCAAAUAUGUAAAUAACAAAAUCCCCAACUCUCUCCGUGGGUCCUUGAGUUGCUUAGGAUUUUCUAGGAUCAAAACCAAAAGCAAAAAUAAAAUAUGAUAUGCAUGAUGAUCUAAUGUAUAACAUUCCAAAUUGAAAAUUUGGGAUGUUACACUUUUUAUGCUUUCUUCUUGUGUGUUUAAUAAACCUUAAGCAAAACCAAAAAAAAUUAGUUAUAGCUUUUAAUUAGUUUACUUUCCAUGCUUGUAGUAGUAAUUAGAAAGAAAACCCAAAAAGAUUUCCUGUUCUUCUUUUUCUUGUUGGGAACUUUCUCGUGUAAAUAGUUUUAUUUCUUUUCUUUUCUUUGGGGGUCGAUAGGAGAAGACCAUGAUUAAAUUGUUGAAGUGACUCUUAUUUGCAUUAUUGUUGAUCUGACAAAAAAUCUCAUAUUGCCUUGUCUUCUCCUGUUUAUUGAAUGCUUGCAGAUUCCAGCUUAGUCCAAUGCACGCGCACUAUUAUUAUUAUUCACAUCGUUCGGCCGUGCAAGUGAAAGGCAAUUAUGACGAUAUAUGAUGGACUGACUGAGAUGAGAAAAGCUGAUAUGAACUCGACCUCUUUUGUUUUUGUAAAUAUGAUUAGUUCAUCGUUCCUGAUUCAGCCUAUUAUGAAUAAACAUGUUUGCAAUGACAACUAGAGAUCAUAGUUUCUUGUGCCAUGCUUGAUUAACUAUGAGUUGUAAUGGUUUACCUUGCAUGCCAACAUGCUAUUAAAAUGGUUAUGAUGUGGUAUGAUAGGGUGGUAUCCUCCUCUAGAUGAUUUAAGUGACUUGACUUGGCGCAUGUUCACGCAUGUAGUUGAAACAAAAUCAACAUAGCCUUCACGAUAUUUAUGUUCAUGAUGGAUUAUAUCCUACUCAUGCUUGCAUUUGGUGUUGAUUAAUUUUAAUGCAUGUUCAUGACUGUUGUCGCUCUCUAGCUGGUCGCUUCCCAGUCUUUUGCUAGCCUUCACCUGUACUAAGCGGGGAUACUGCUUGUGCAUCCAACUCCAUAAACCCCAAAGUUAUUCCAUAUGAGUCCACCAUACCUACCUAUAUACGGUAUCUACCUGCCGUUCCAAGUAAAUUUGUAUAUGCCAAACUCUAAACCUUCAAAUAAAUAUCCUGUUUUGUAUGCUUGAAUAGCUCACUUAUCAACUAGGGAUGUCCGUAUCUUCCAUGUUAGGCGGGUUAUUCUCAAGAGGAGUGGACUCCACUCCUCACUCACGAGAAAGUGGCUGGUCACCGGGAUGCCCAGUCCCAUGCUUUAUGCAAACUAAAUCAAAAUAAUUGCAAACAAAACUCCCCCUGGGACUCUUGUUAGUUGGAGGCACUCGUUGUUUCGAGCAAGCCAUGGAUUUAUGCUUGUUGGUGGAAGGGGGAGUAUAAACUUUACCAUUCUGUUUGGGAACCGCCUAUAAUGUGUGUAGCAUGGAAGAUAUCGCCAUCUCUUGGUUGUUAUGUUGACAAUGAAAGUAUAUCGCUCAAAAUAUUAUUCACCUCUAUUUCAAAACUGAGCUCUGGCACCUCUACAAAUCCCUGCUUCCCUCUGCGAAGGGCCUAUCUAUUUAUUUUAUGCUGAGUCAUCAUCCUCUUAUUAAAAAGCACCAGUUGGAGAGCACUGCUGUCAUUUGCAUUCAUUAUUGUUAGUUUACAUUGAGUAUGACUUGACUGGAUCUAUUUUACCAUGAAUUACAAUGUCUAGUCGGUCCUUGAUCUUUAAAGGUGCCCUGCAUUUAUGUUUUGCAGUCUCAGAAAGGGCUAGCGAGAUGCCAUCUUGUUAUAUCAUAUUAUGAUUGUUUUGAGAAAGUGUUGUCAUCCGAGAUUUAUUAUUAUUGCUCGCUAGUUGAUUAUGCCAUUGAUAUGAGUAAACUUGAAACCUAAGCGUUAUUGUGAAUGUGGUUAGUUAUAAUCUUUGCUGAAAAAUUGAAUGCUAACUUUACAUAUUUACAACAACAAGAGCAAACAGAGUUUGUAAAAGUUUUUCUUUAUCACUUUCAGUUUGUCAACUGAAUUGCUUGAGGACAAGCAAAGGUUUAAGCUUGGGGGAGUUGAUACGUUUCCGUCGUAUCUACUUUUCCAAACACUUUUGCCCUUGUUUUGGACUCUAACUUGCAUGAUUUGAAUGGAACUAACCCGGACUGACGCUGUUUUCAGCAGAAUUACCAUGGUGUUAUUUAUGUGCAGAAACAAAAGUUCUCGGAAUGACCUGAAACUUCACGGAACACCUUUUCGGAAAAUAUAAAAAAUCCUUGCAAAAGAUGAAGGCCAGGGGCCCACCACCUGUCCACGAGGGUGGGGGGCGUGCCUGCCCCCCUAGGGUGCGCCCCCUACCUCAUGGGCCCCCUAGAGCUCCUCUGACCUCAAGUCCAACUCUAUAUAUUUGGUUUCGAGGAGAAAAAAAAUCAGAGAGAAGAAAUCAUCGCGUUUUACGAUACGAAGCCGCCGCCAAGCCCUAAAACCUCUCAGGAGGGCUGAUCUGGAGUCCGUUCGGGGCUCCGGAGAGGGGAAUCCGUCGCCAUCGUCAUCAUCAAUCAUCCUCCAUCACCAAUUUCAUGAUGCUCACCGCCGUGCGUGAGUAAUUCCAUCGUAGGCUUUCUAGACGGUGAUGGGUUGGAUGGGAUCUAUCAUGUAAUCGAGUUAGUUUUGUUAGGGUUUGAUCCCUAGUAUCCACUAUGUUCUGAGAUUGAUGUUGCUAUGACUUUGCUAUGCUUAAUGCUUGUCACUAGGGCCCGAGUGCCAUAAUUUCAGAUCUGAACCUAUUAUGUUUUCAUCAAUAUAUGAGAGUUCUUGAUCCUAUCUUCCAAGUCUAUAGUCACCUAUUAUGUGUUAUGAUCCGUUAACCCCGAAGUGACAAUAAUCAGGAUACUUACCGGUGAUGAUCGUAGUUUGAGGAGUUCAUGUAUUCACUAUGUGUUAAUGCUUUGUUCCGGUACUCUAUUAAAAGGAUGCCUUAAUAUCCCUCAGUUUCCGUAAGGACCCCGCUGGCACGGGAGGGUAGGACAAAAGAUGUCAUGCAAGUUCUUUUCCAUAAGCACGUAUGACUAUAUUUGGAAUACAUGCCUACAUUAUAUCAAUGAACUGGAGCUAGUUCUAUGUCACCCUAGGUUAUGACUGUUACAUGAUGAACCGCAUCCGGCAUAAUUCUCCAUUACUGAUCCAUUACCUACGAGGUUUCCACAUAUUGUUCUUCGCUUAUUUACUUUUCUGUUGCUAUUGCUAUCAUCACUACAAAAUACCAAAAACAUUACUUUUGCUACCGUUACCUUUUGCUACCGCUACCACUACUAUCAUAUUACUUUGCUACUAAAUACUUUGCUGCAGAUAUUAAGUUUCUAGGUGUGGUUGAAUUGACAACUCAACUGCUAAUACUUGAGAAUAUUCUUUGGCUCCCCUUGUGUCGAAUCAGUAAAUUUGGGUUGAAUACUCUACCCUCGAAAACUGUUGUGAUCCCCUAUACUUGUGGGUUAUCACAUGUCGAUUUCAUUUCUUACAAUAAAGCGACAACCAUGUGGCUCCUGCCAGUUGCCGAUAAUUGUGUUACAAAACAUGGUCAUCUCAUACAACAAUUUAUAUAAUCAUGUCUUGACCAUAUCACAUCACAACAUGCCCUUCAAAAACAAGUUAGACGUCCUCUACUUUGUUGUUGCAAGUUUUACGUGGCUGCUACGGGCUUAGCAAGAACCGUUCUUACCUACGCAUCAAAAACCACAAUGGGGGUAUAGUGAUUGCUUUUUGAUCUUCAGAAAGAAUCCCGUUCAUUAAAUCCGAUUCAACUAAACUUGGAGAAACUGACACCCGUCAGCCACCUAUGUGCAAAACACGUCGGUAGAACCAGUCUCAUGAACGCGGUCAUGUAAUGUCGGUCCGGACCGCUUCAUCCAACAAUACCGCCAAAUCAAGAAACAACUAGUGACAACAAGCAAUAUGUAUAUACCCAUGCCUACAACUCCUUUGUGGUCUACUUGUGCAUAUAACAUCUACGCAUAGACCUGGCUCUGAUACCAAUGUUGGGGAACGCAAUAUUUCAAAAAAAUUCCUACGAUAACGCAAGAUCUAUCUAGGGAUGCAUAGUAACGAGAGGGGAGAGUGUGUCCACGUACCCUCGUAGACCGAAAGCGGAAGCGUUAAGUAAAGCGAUUGAUGUAGUCGAACGUCUUCGCGAUCCAACCGAUCAAGUACCGAACGCACGACACCUCCGCGAUCUACACACGUUCAACUCGAUGACGUCCCUCGAACUCUAGAUCCAGCUGAGGCCGAGGGAGAGUUUCGUCAGCACGACAACAUGUUGACGGUGAUGACGAAGUUACCGACGCAGGGCUUCGCCUAAGCACUAAGACAAUAUGAUCGAGGUGGAAAUCUGUGGAGGGGGGCACCGCACACGGCUAAGGUAACUUGUGUGUCUAUGGGGUGCCCCCUCCCCCGUAUAUAAAGGAGUGGAGUAGGGGGAGGGCCGGCCUCCUAGGGCGCGCCCCAAGGGGGGAUUCCUAAUCCUACUAGGAGUAGGUUUCCCCCCUUUCCUAGUCCAACUAGGAGGGGGAAGGAAGGGAAGAGGGAGAGAAGGAAAGGGGGGGAGGGGCGGCCCCCCAAACCCUAUCCCAAUUCAGGUUGGGCCUAGGGGGGGCAUGCACCACACAUGGCUGCGUCCUCCUCUCUUCCACCAUGGCCCAUCAAGGCCCAUUAACUCCCCGGGGGGUUCCGGUAACCCCCGGGUACUCCGGGAAAUACUCGAUACACCUCAGAACCAUUCCGGUGUCCGAAUAUAGUCAUCCAAUAUAUCAAUCUUCAUGUCUCGACCAUUUCGAGACUCCUCAUCAUUUCCAUGAUCUCAUACGGGACUCCGAACUACCUUCGGUACAUCAAAGCACAUAAACUCAUAAUACCGAUUGUCAUCGAACGUUAAGCGUGCGAACCCUAUGGGUUCGAGAACUAUGUAGACAUGACCGAGACUCAUCUCCAGUCAAUAACCAAUAGCGGAACCUGGAUGCUCAUAUUGGUUCCUACAUAUUCUAUGAAGAUCUUUAUCGGUCAAACCGUAUAACAACAUACGUUGUUCCCUUUGUCAUCGGUAUGUUACUUGCCCGAGAUUCGAUCAUCGGUAUCAUCAUACCUAGUUCAAUCUCGUUACCGGCAAGUCUCUUUACUCGUUCCGUAAUGCAUCAUCCCGCAACUAACUCAUUAGUCACAUUGCUUGCAAGGCUUAUAGUGAUGUGCAUUACCGAGAGGGCCCAGAGAUACCUCUCCGACAAUCGGAGUGACAAAUCCUAAUCAUGAUCUAUGCCAACUCAACAAACACCAUCAGAGACACCUGUAGAGCAUCUUUAUAAUCACCCAGUUACGUUGUGAUGUUUGAUAGCACACUAAGUGUUCCUCUGGUAUUCGGGAGUUGCAUAAUCUCAUAGUCAUAGGAACAUGUAUAAGUUAUGAAGAAAGCAAUAGCAAUAAACUAAACAAUCAUAGUGCUAAGCUAACGGAUGGGUCAAGUCAAUCACAUCAUUCUCUAAUUAUGUGAUCCCAUUCAUCAAAUGACAACUCAUGUCUAUGGCUAGGAAACUUAAUCAUCUUUGAAUAACGAGCUAGUCAAGUAGAGGCAUACUAGUGACAGUCUGUUUGUCUAUGUAUUCACACAUGUACUAAGUUUCCGGUUAAUAAAAUUCUAGCAUGAAUAAUAAACAUUUAUCAUGAUAUAAGGAAAUAUAAAUAACAACUUUAUUAUUGCCUCUAGGGCAUAUUUCUUCACAGUGCCAUACAACAUCGCGAGUCCAACCGUCAUCCUGUAGAACUUGCCUUUUAGCUUUUGUGGCACUCUCUUGUCACAAAGAAUGAGAGACACUUGGCGCCACUUCAUCCAUCCAGCUUUGAUUCGAUGGUUCACAUUUUCAUCAAUACCCCCAUCCUCCUGCAGCAUUGACCCCAAAUAUCCAAAGAUGUCCUUCCAAGGCACCACCUGCCCAUCAAGGCUAACCUCCUCCUCCUCACACCUAGUAGUACUGAAACCACACAUCAUGUACUCGGUUUUACUUCUAAUUAGCCUAAACCCUUUCGUUUCCAAGGUUUGUCUCCAUAACUCUAACAUCUUAUUUACCCCCGUCUGACUAUCAUCAACUAGCACCACAUCAUCCGCAAAGAGCAUACACCAUGGGAUAUCUCCUUGUAUAUCCCUUUUUGUGAUCUCAUCCAUCACCAAGGCAAAAAGAUAAGGGCUCAAAGUUAACCCUUGAUACAGUCCUAUCUUAAUCGGGAAGUCAUCAGUGUCGACAUCACUUGUUCGAACACUUGUCACAACAUUAUCGUACAUGUCCUUGAUGAGGGUAAUGCACUUUUCUGGGACUUUGUGUUUCUCCAAGGCCCACCACAUGACAUUCUGCGGUAUCUUAUCAUAGGCUUCCUCCAAGUCAAUGAACACCAUAUUCAAGUCCUUCUUUUGCUCCCUGUAUCUCUUCAUAAGUUGUCGUACCAAGAAAAUGGUUUCCAUGGUCGACCUCCCAGGCAUGAAGCCAAACUGACCUUUGGUCACGCUUGUCAUUCUUCUAGGCAUAGUUUCAAGUAUUGUAAUAAAAAUGAGGGAGAUCAUCCAUGCUCAUCUCAUAAUCCCUUCUUUCAGCAUCAAGGUUCCUUUGGGUUAAGCAAAAGUAAUCAAAAGGGCUAAAUUUAAUAGGGCAAGGAUCCGUAAGAUCAAGUUUAGGAGGAGGAGGUUCCUCUUUUGGCCCCUUAUAAGUGAUGACAAUUUCUUCGUCUUCAUAUCCUAUAUAAUAUUUCACUUCUUCAAAUACUUGCAAAAAUUCCUACCAUUUUAUAUCAAUAAUCAACUGGCACAACAACGCGUGCCGACAUGAUCAGUUAGCUAUAUAAGCAACAUUGUUUAGGCUGGGCCAAUUGUUACUCACGAGAACACUAACUUAUUAGCCUAAAUUACAAAAGUAUAACAUAGACUUACGUGAUGGGAAAUCAUUCUGUUCAAUCGACCGAUCAUGCGGAGCGUUCUGCCACCCACGCAGCCGCUGGAUCUCAUCUGAUCCAACCACACGUUCACAUCAGUUUUUGCAUCUGCUGCGCGCCUACGCCACAGGGUGAUGUUUAUGCAAUAAGACCUAUGUUGCAAAAACAAAUCUGCAACAAUACUUCUGUUACAAAAGAAUCAAUAAAUAGACUUAUGUUAUAAAAAAUCCUCUAAAAAUUUCUGCAACACGACCACUAUUGCAAAAAGAAAACUACAAUGCAACCUUUGUUGUACAUAUUUUUGCAAUAAGACAUGUGUUGCAAAAGGGUUCUCGCAACACGAGUUCUGUUGCAAAAGUGAGGACGAUGCUCGGUCACAAGAUCCUGUAGGAUUCGACGGCUCCGUACCCAACGGAUUUUUAAAAACAUCCACCGGCCGACGCGUAGCAGGCCGCUUACAUAAUGGCCCAUGAUUACAAAUUCCAUGGCCCAACUAUGGUUUAGCUGGUUUGCUACAAUUCAAUACCUUAUACGCUCUAGUUUCCUUUCCUAAAUAUUAUUUCUUUAACCUAAUUUUCUGCGGCCGCCACCUUCCCGGGCGGCCUCAACCCCCCAACCCCGUCUUCCGUGGUAUAUAUAUAUCUCUACCAUCUUGAGAUUCUUGGCACUUCUGCAUCGCAAAUGACCCAUGUCCUUCAUAGGCUUCUGCUAACCUAAUUAUUUACGGCCGCCACAACCUCCAAUUGACCCCAUCCACCCAAGCCAUAUCCUGUAAUAUACACUGUUCAGCUUGAGAUUAUUUUCAAUAGAUAUCUAGCCCAUGGCACCUCUACAAUGCCAUAACUCAUAUCAUUCGGAGGCAUUGCACCUCCAUUCCAAAUAUCAUUCUAGAAUUUGGCACCAUCCAUGAUAACCUCCAGUUGAAAUCUCGAUAUAGGUCAUAUCGUUGCCCUUGUUUCACCAAUUGUUCUUUCAAUCAAUCAUUAUACUCUCUAAUUCAAGUAGCAUGGGUGAUGGCAUGUCUCGCAGCAAGAUCAAAGAUCUAGAAAGAAUGAGCUGAGAUCCAGAAAGAAAGAAGCCACCGGGCCCUUUGGAAUUGGUUCUUGAUGAACACCAUGGAGAGGAUUUGAUGAUGUAAGUCUUAAUUUUUCUGAAAGUUAUCUAUUGCUGUCGAUCCCUUGUUACCUCACCUAGAUAGUACAUUUAGAUUAUUGUAUCGGCAAAAGGCACAAUGAUCGGAACCGACCCUAGAGAAAACCUCUGGCUGGGCUAAUCCUCUCCUUGGGCCCAGGCUUAUAUACUUUUGAAUUUAUAGUGAAUUAUAGAUAUACACAUCUUUGGGUUUGUUUUCCUAGGCCUAGAGUGAAGACCUGCGAGUCGUGGGUUAAGAUUCGUACUUGCGCGAGACCACUCAUGCGAUGCUCGGGAGAUGCAAAAUAUUUGAUAACCAAGACCGAGCCAUCAACAGAGCCCGCCCAAGGCUAGGCCGACUCUUGUUGGACUUAAGCUUAUAUACUCUAGAGAGUUCUCUUUGUCAAAAUUUAUUUGUAUACCCGUGUUUCAAAUUCAUGUAAGCGUCACUAAUGAAUAUAUACUUUAUUAGAACUCCUAUAGAACAUUACUAUUGUAGAAACAUCUAUUUUGUGUGUUUGCAAUAGGGCCCCUUGUGUACAUACAUAAAAAAAGGAUCAUGAUAAGUGUCACACGUGUGCAGGGGCGGACGCAGGAUUUGACCAAGCCUAGGGCCCUAGGCUGCUACAGUGGAGCUACGGUGCUGCUACAGUGAACAAUANNNNNNNNNNNNNNNNNNNNNNNNNNNNNNNNNNNNNNNNNNNNNNNNNNNNNNNNNNNNNNNNNNNNNNNNNNNNNNNNNNNNNNNNNNNNNNNNNNNNNNNNNNNNNNNNNNNNNNNNNNNNNNNNNNNNNNNNNNNNNNNNNNNNNNNNNNNNNNNNNNNNNNNNNNNNNNNNNNNNNNNNNNNNNNNNNNNNNNNNNNNNNNNNNNNNNNNNNNNNNNNNNNNCACUUGUGGCACGAAGCAAUUCCGUCUUAACGUUUUUUGAUGGCAACUUUAGUUACCCGGAGAUGGCAACUUUUUGUUUGGAUGGCAAGUUUCAAUUUUUUUUUGGAUUUCAUUUUUUGGAUGAUAAUUUUAGUUGUAAAAACAUCAGGGUGGUGUUACUUCGUGCCACACGUGUGACACUUAUCAUUUGAGUAAAAAAUAUUACAUUUUUAAACAAAUUAAACCUCAAUUUAUCCAUACAAAAUAAAAGCAAUUAACUCUUGGACGGAACACAUAUUUUUUAGGAAAGAAACGCAACACAUAACACAUAUAUAAUUUGGUCCAAUUGAUGCACGCAUAUAUACGGAAUGCAGUUAAAGACGCCGAAUUAGUUAAGGAAACUUGAUCUGGCUAAUCGAUGGAAUUAGCUAACAUAUUAAUGCUGAGUCUGGAGUACACUGGAUGCAAUAUACUACGAUGAAUGCAGUUAAACAAAUUCGAAGUACGUCUGGUUUUCCUGCCAUAAUUAAACAAAUAAUUAAUUGCCGCAAUCUAUUUGAUCUCGAGAUGAACUACCACCCGCACAUUGUCGAUUGCAAAUUACACAAGGAAUUAAUUUUAAUCCCGUUGUGGUGAUCGGGAAAGAUAUGCUAUAGACGCCAUAAUCGGCAAGCUUUGACGCCACCGUAUCUCUGCUCUGUAUGCAUGUAAGCAAAACAGCGGCGGCAAGUAGAAACUUCUUUCCAGAAACAUGAAGAUACUUUGAUAUAUGCAUGGGUGGCUCAUUUAAAUAUUUAUUUAAUCACAAAAGAUACGCCAGCCAACACAAUAUUUGAUUUUUUUCUGGUGGAAUUAGAAAGCGGUGCAAGCUCGAUAUUUGCAUGUGUGAAGCAGCACCUGAUUACAAAUGGACGGUGGAGAUCGACCGGCAACCCCUAUAAAUACCCCUGUACCUUGGCCAGGUACAAGGCGCACACCACCACCAAAGCCUCAAGCUGCAAGCAACAGAGCUAGCUAGAUACAUCCUCCACCAUAAAACUAGCUCUAAGGUUCAAAGCUACUCUCCUUCCUCUGUUUCUGCCUUUUUCAUUUUUCUCUGGAUUGCCAUGCAUCUUCUACUAGUUGCAUGCGCGCACGAUUGAUCAAGAUUUGCUAGAGGCGAUAUACAUGUGAAACUAGUGCACCUUGAUAGGUUUUGAUCUAUGCAGCACAGUUUUUGGUUGUUGUUGGCAGCUAUGUAUAUGCAUCCAUUUUUGCCAUUUCCUUUCUUGCAUUCUUCGCUUUUUCGUGCUGUUUUCGGUGCUACGUACAUGUGGCAAAAAGAAAACAUGGAAAUUAUCCAUCCAUGUCCAUGUACUGUGCAGCUCUCUGUUACAUGCUGUUGCCAUCCAAAGUACACCAUAGGCUCACAUAAGCUAUGUUCUUUUGUUCCUUUUCUUUUUCCAUUUUCCUUUUCCAAAGUAUCUAUGUCUUUCCUUUUUCUCUUAUUCUUGAUGUUUCUUUUGUCCUCAUAGGCUCACAUAUGCAAUCUACAAUUUUCUUUUUUCUUGUCCCAUCAUUUCAUAAAUUACUAGAUACCAAUUAAGAAAGUGUUCUUGUUGCACUGGUGGUUGUUAGCAGAAGCCAUGAAUAUGGAUCUAACAUGAUGUUGCAGAUUUUUUUUUCUGUGUGGAGAAAUUAUCCAUCCAUGUGUGGAACAAUCUCUGCCAUUGUUGUCAUCGAUCCAAAUUAAUUCUUUGUGAUUUUUUUUCAUGUUCUUUUAUUCUCAUAUGUAAUCUAGGUGAAAAAUCACCAUCUCUUCCCCUCAUAAAGGAUUCAAUAAACUAGUAAAUAGAAAUAAUUUAAAAAGUGUACAGACCUCUGAUCUCCGCUUAAUCUGCAUGCAUGCAUGAUUUUGCAAAACAAAUCUUUUACUAUAUAUCAUCUGAGAUCAAUGAAACGUGUGGAUCAGAAACAACUAAUCUCUUUAUAAAUUAUGUUUUUUUUGCAGUUCUUUUAGCUAGCUGAUCAUGGCAUCCUCCCUCAAGGCAUUGCUUGUUGAUGAUAUGUCAGUUGAACGCAUGGUUGUCUCCUCCAUGCUGCGCAAGUUCCACUGCGAGAUCAUCCUGGCGAAGAAUGGGAAAGAAGCUGUUGAUAUGUUUCUUGAGGGCAACGAGUUUGAUAUUGUUGUGUGUGAUAAGGACAUGCCCAUAAUGACCGGUCCCGAGGUACGUACUUUAGCUAACUUUUUUGCUUUGACGUAACACAUAUUGGAUGGUCACCUCAUCGACACAAUAUUUCUUGUACAUGUGCUUAACAGGCCAUUGUGAAGAUCCGUGCUAUGGGAGCCACUGAUGUGAAGAUCGUCGGGGUGUCCGCUGAUGAUAACGCCAUGGAGGCGUUCAUGGGCGCCGGUGCUGAUGACUUUGUGCCCAAACCAGUGAGGCCUGAGAUUCUGCAGCCUAUGGUUCAGGAGGUCAUCAACAAGAAGAAGAAUUAACGAUGGUCUACGGCAAUCUUGCUUGCUUGAUCCAGCCAUCAAGAAAAUGCUAAAUGUUCUGCUAGCUCAUGUCCGCACUAUAUUAUAAUUGUGGUAUUAUCUUUAGUUUCGAGGUCAUGUUAAAGGUCGGACGCCAUUAGCAAGAAGAACAACAGAGUCUGCCAACAAUUAUAUGCAUGGGAUUGAUGUAAUCUGUAGC